CGUGAGGGGGUGUGUUGGAAUUCCGCCUUUAUUGCGGUCCGCUCCUAGUCCCACAUCAGAUAGAUAAGACUCUCGAGUAGAGUUUAUAAAGAGGAGGCACUCCUCACCUUACAAGCCGGUUUUGUAAGGAUGAGUUAAGCCUCAAAUUUCAACAUUUAUAGUCCACUUCCUCGUUGUGCUUCAUUGCAAUAUUGAUGUGUUUCCGGAUACUGAGGGUCAGUUUGGUCUUGCUGUUGUUUAUUAGAAGCAGCCUGUAGAAGCAAGUUAUAUGCCCUUGGGAAUAUAUGUUUCAAUGAAAUCCUGUUUAAUUUUUCAAGAAUUUUUUAUGUUUAUUAUUGUUUUAGAAACAAAAAGCAGAAGCCAGCUGCUGACUUUUGUUUUUGAAGUGUACUUUGCCUCUGAUUGUGAAAAGCUGCGCUCAUAAACUACUGCCAAUUUCUUAUAAGAGGCUUUUCAACACUCGGCCACCAGACUCUUAAAAUUUGUUUCUUGCUCUUAUAAUGAUUAUAAUGAUUUUGCAUAUCAGUAAAAGUAAACUCUAACUCUGCUAAAUGGAAGUUUUUAUGUAGACUUAAUAAGAAUUGGGUUAUAUAUACAUAGACUUUUCAUUUUUUCCUCACUUCCUAAACCCCGUGUUAGGUUCAUAAAUCUUAUUGGCUGUUGAGCCAUGUGAUACUUGUGGUAUUAAGAUUGAUAUAUUAAAUUUUGUUGACUGAGUAUUUUACGGGUAGUGGAACUUUUGUGCCACAGGAGAAAAAGCUGAUGGAAGAAAUUCAACGGCUUAAUGAUGAAAUGCGUGGUUGCGAUGAGAAUAUUCAGAGUCGUAAAGCAAAUAUUACUACUUUGGAAUCUCUAAUUGCUAAGUCACGUGAAAGGUUUAGUGAUUAUAAAGUAGAAAGAGACAGCCUUCAGGAUAAGAAAAAGUUCGUAUAUCUUGUCUUUUCUGUGAUGCGUACACAUGUUUUUGAUUUAAUAGUCAAUGAGAUACUUCUUAUGGUUUGAUAUUGUUUCAUUAUUGUUAUCAUCAUCAUCAUCAUCAUCAUAGGUCCUUAUGGAGCAAAGAGAAUGAACUUACUGCUGAAAUUGAUAAAUUGAGAGCAGAAGUUGAGAAGGCUGAAAAGAAUCUUGAUCAUGCGAUUCCUGGUGUGAGUAGCAUAUCUUAAAAGCUUCUUUUAAUGUGCUAUUUUUCAAUGCAUAAAGGAAAUAGAAAGAUCUUGAGAUUGAUGGCAGUGAAGGACAUCAUCACUCUCUGAUUUUGAAUAAGAUGUUUCAGGGUGUUUUUUGAGUGACGGAAUUAGUUCUCUGUAAUUAUAUAAUGGUAUUUGUGACUCAGUGUUUUGUUUAUCUAAUAUUGAGAAAUGUAGACUACUUAGCAUUUGAUAAGAGUGCCCGCUAUUAUUAUCUGUCCAGUUCGGGGAUGAUCUGUCAUGAUGAUGUUGGCAUUAUUACACACUCCCUUGUUUGAUACUCUGUACUAUAAUAUGCAGGAUGUUAGAAGAGGGUUGAAUUCAGUUCGGAAGAUCUGCAAAACUCAGAACAUUUCUGGAGUUCACGGUCCAAUUAUUGAGUUGCUGAACUGUGAUGAAAAGUUUUUCACCGCAGUUGAAGUGACAGCAGGAAACAGGUAUCCCUUCUUUGAAUAAGUAGGCUUUACCACAUGUUACAUUCAUAGGGUGUAUUUUUGUUUUGGAAAUGGGGGUGGGGUAGAUUAGGUACAUCCAUAGCAUGUAAUUUACUUUUUUCAUCUCUAGUAUCUGUUUUUGGCCUGAUCUCUUUAUUGGUAUUAUAAUUUUGCAUAUUUGCCUUGAUUUCUUAAUUUAACAAAUUUGUUUUAACAGCUUAUUUCAUGUGGUUGUUGAAAAUGAUGACAAGUCAACCGAGAUAAUUAAACACCUUAAUCAACAAAAAGGUGGGCGUGUUACAUUUAUUCCACUUAACAGAGUAAAUGCUCCUCGCGUCACUUAUCCACAGAGUUCCGAUGUCAUACCUCUUUUAAAGAAAUUGAAUUUUAAACAUGACUACACUCCAGCAUUCAGUCAGGUUAGCUUCUCCUCAACUGUUGUAUUUUAUUUACAUAUGGGUAUAUGGCAAGUUAUCUUCAGGUGAUAUGUAGUGUUAAACGUAAUUCUUAAAUGGUUUAUCUGGUUCCAUUAUAACUCUUAGAAUUUGGGUUUGGCCCAACUCAGCCAUGCAAAACUGGCUUGUAAGUUGAGAACUACCGACGACUUAUAGGCCCCUAAUCAUUUCUCAUCCAAUGCGAGACUCUUUAACACACAGACCUCAUGCCCAAGAAAUCUAGAGUGUGACCUGAGUGGUCUGGUAGCAGGUGCAGGGAUGGCUGUACUCAUACAAAUUUGGGGGCACAUACCCCACUUUGUUGUAUAAAAAUAUAUACUAUUAUUUCUUCACACAAAAAUACUAUAUAUUCAAAAAACAUAUUGUAUCUUUUGUGAUUUUUAUUUGUAGAGUUAAAUGUGAUGCCACCAAUGACAAAUACAACAGUUAAAAGAGUUUUUUUACUAUAAAUAUCAUAAAAUUUGAUAUGAAAUUAUUUGGUAUAGGAGGUCGCCGGGUCGGUUUUGUGUUUAGGUGAUAUGAUGCUGUGAUGUUUUAGACCUAUCAGGUUGCUUGCAUCAUGCAAUUUAGAUAGCAGGUUAUGUUAGGAAACAUCGUUAAUUUUUUUGAUUUAUUGUAGAGUGCAGGAUGAGAUGGAGAUUUUGACUAUUGUACAUUUUUAUUGGCUUCUAUGCACACCUUCUAUAUUGUUGUGCGCUUAAUAAAUUUUCUCCUAUAAAAAAACAAAAUAAAAUUUGGGAAAUUGUUGAAUGAUUGUUUGUUUAUUUUAUAAAGAAAUACUUUUUAUAAUAUUGAAAAUGAACACAUAUUCAAUGCUUUUAGAAUAAAAUAACCUUAAAGAACAAUUAUGAGUAUUGCCCUCACUGGUUAAUUAUUUUGGAUCCUUCAUUGAUCAGGCGACCCAUCGAAUCUUGGAUAGACUGAUACCAUCUUAGAAUUUGGGAUGAGCCUAACUCAACCCUACAAAACUGCUUUUAAGGCGAGGAGAGGACUACCUCGAACUUAGAAACAUAUUGUCAGGCCAUAUCUCAUCCAAUGUGGGACUCUUAACAAUAACAUAAUAAAAUUGAUGCAAGUUGAGCAGCAUGUUGAGUUAGGACAGUGUGACAUGAAUGGAUUAUUGUUUUAUUUAGGGGUUAUUAUGAUUAAUUAAAGGGUAGUUUUGUAAGUUUCAUUUAAUUAUUUUUAAACAAAAAUAUCAAAACCCCUUCUGUUUCCUGUAAACUGCUGGUUUGUACAUCUUAGGUUUUUAUAUUGUGCCUAACUCUUCCUUAUAAAACCGGUUGUAAUGUAAGAUGUGCCUCUCUUUACUAACUCUUUAAAGGUCUUAUCUCUUUUCAAUGCGGGACAUUUGAGUUUUGUUCAAUAUACCUCCUCCUCAUGCUUAGCACUAUUAGCUUGAUGCUUGGAUAAUUCUAUCUUAGGUUUAUAUAUUUGACCUUAGUCUUCCUUACAAAACCGAUUUGUUAGGUGAGGGGUGCCUCUCUUUAUAAGUCCUCUCUAUGCUUUAUCCCUUUUCAAUGUCGGAUUUGGGUUUUCCCUAACAGUCCAAAAGUGGGUACUAACUAAAAACCUGAAGACUACUUUAGGUAUAGAGUGAUAUGACUCAAACUUAAACGCACUACAUUAAUAAUGGCUUAAGUAUGUUUGUAGUUAGUCCCCCAAAAGUGGGUUUUUAGAAAGCAUAUUUUGGGGGACUAACUACAAACAUACUUAAGCCAUUAUUAAUGUAGUGCGUUUAAGUUUGAGUCAUAUCACUCUAUACCUAAAGUAGUCUUCAGGUUUUUCAAGGGAAUGCUCUUCCAAGAGGAGCACUUCAAACCUAAAUAUUACUUAGUCUACAUCAGCGAUGUCAUCCUCUUCGUUAUAAAGUUGCAUUAGAUGUUCCAUGACAUCAGUUAUGAUAUUUCUAUUAGGUAUUUGCUAGAACAGUUAUCUGCAAGAAUCUGGAUGUGGCUUCAAAGGUAGCUCGUACCAAUGGUUUGGACUGCAUAACACUGGAAGGUUUGCUUAGCUCUUUGCUUGUGUCUGCAUAUUGUAGAUGGUCUAUUGUUUUGUCCUGACAAAUUGUUGUCUGUCUCUAUACAGGUGAUCAAGUAAGCAAAAAAGGUAGUAUGACCGGAGGAUUUUAUGAUCACAGACGAUCAAGACUGAAGUUUAUGAAUACCAUUAAGCAGAAUGCUGACAGUAUCCACGUUAAGGAGGAGGAAUUGGAGAAAGUUAAAUUUGAGAUACAAGAUAUCCUUUAAUAUUAGUAAAUAAACACUUUGUACAUUCUCCAUUUUUUUGGGUAAGAACUCAUUAUUUAUAAACGACAUAUAAUGAAACUAAGCAAACAAAGUAAAUCCGGAGGACCUUGAUUACCAUAAAAUGUUUGAAAGAAAUAGCUCUAAGAAUGAGAAGAAAAACCAUUUGGCAAUGUGUACCCAGCAGUCAUAUUUACUUUUUGCUUUUGAUUUUUUCUGGUUAUGUUAUAAUACGUGUUUUGGCAGUAUAGAGGGAGAUGAUAUUGUUUUUCUAUAAUUUUCUGUGAUUAACUGCAACUCUUACAGACAGUGAUUUCGUUAUGGUUUGACCAUUAUUUUUUUCUGGUAUCUUGGACAUAUUCAUGAUGCUGUCUUUAAACAAAAUUUUUUAUGAUUAAGAUGCACUUUCUUGAUAGAAUUGUUUUAUUAGAAAUGUGGCAAGCUGAGUUGAAGGAAAUACAAGGUUCUUGAUAGAAUUUCUUGAUAGAAUCGCUUUUCGUUAUGUUGUUACUGCACUUUGUUCGUUACUGAAAUUCUGCGUUUCUUUUUGACCCCUAGUAUAGGGUUUGCUACAUCUGUUUCAUUCAUUGAUGAUGAUUGAUUUUACUUUUAGAUUAUUCCUUGUUUUGUCUUGUACUAAUUUUUUUUGGUAAGAGCCGCUUGAUUUGUUUAUGACGUGGUAACAUUAAGUACCACAUAUCCAUUAGUUUUGUGAUUCAUUCUGUGAUGCCUAUUUUAUUCCUUGCCGAAAAAACAUUUUCCCCUAUGGUUUUGUUUUCACUGAACUGGUCUCACAGAUAGAUCAAAAGAUUAAUGAUCUUGUUACCGAGCAGCAGAAGGUUGAUGCUCAAUGCGCUCAUAGCAAAUCAGAGAUAGAAGAGCUUAAACGGGACAUUGCUAAUUCUAAUAAACAGAAGCCAUUAUUCUCUAAAGCACUUGCCAAGAAGGUAUCAUUGAAUUUCUCAGAUUCUACUCAAUUACCACUCAUGAGCUUCCUUUCUAUUGGUAGUUGCUUGUGAGAUUGUUCACUGCUAAUUGCUUUUUAUCUUUUCCGAAAUAACUUGUAGGAGAAAUCACUUGAAGAUGUUCAGAAUCAGAUUGAACAGCUUAAGGGUAGCAUUGCUACGAAAAAAGCUGAGAUGGGCACAGAGCUCAUUGAUCAUUUAACACCUGAGGAAAAAAAGCUUUUGUCUGAUUUGAACCCUGAAAUCAAAGACCUUAAAGAGAAGCUUGUUGCUUGCAAGACUGAUCGCAUUGAGGUUAUUGAGUGAAUUAUAUUGAUGUUCAUAAUAUGUAUAGGGCUAUCUAUUCUAUUGUCUCCAUUUUAACUUCAAAUUUUGCAGAGUGAAGCACGGAAAGCAGAGCUGGAAACUAAUCUAACCACUAAUCUUAGGAGAAGAAAACAAGAGCUGGAGGCUGUGAUAUCAUCUGAUGAUGAUGAGUCUAUGGUUGCUGAUGCCAAUUCCAAGAGGGAGGAACUUAAUGAUGCAAAAGUAUUGGUUGAUGAUACAUUAGAUCAGCUUAAAAGUGAGAACGUCAGCCAAUGUUGUCUUAUAUCUAUAUCUUGAAGUUCAAAUUGUCACUCCUUGUUUGACCAAAAUUUCUUCUUCAGGAGUUUCUGAUAGUAUAAAUAAUCGAAACAAGCAAAUUGCAAAGAUCAAAGAUGAAAUUAAUAAAUUGAAGGUAUUAUUCUUUUAAAUUGUUCAAUGGUUACGUGUUGUUGGUCCUUAAUGAUGAAGUUAUUUGGCUGCAGUCUAUGGAGGAGGAGUAUAAUAGAAGACAUCAGGAAGAAGCUAAAGAAUUAGAGCAAUUGCUGGGUAGAAAAAGUGAAUUUUCUGCUAAAGAAGAAAAGUAUACCAAGAAAAUAAAGGAACUUGGCCCAUUGACAUCAGAUGCUUUUGAGUCGUAAGUUUUGCCUAGCAGCUUACUUUUACUUAUUUUUUUUAGAGGGAUAGGAUAAAAGAUGAAUUAUAUUCUGAAAAUAAAUGAAAUGACAGUUAAAUUAUAGAGAGCACUUAAGCACAUCGUUUUCUUCACGGAGGUUAUCACUUUAUGUAAACUUCCAAGUAGCAACAUUUCAUUCUCACUUCAAAGUUGACAGCGUCUGCUUCCUAAGAAAGCCUUGUGCCUUGCAAAUACUCCAAACUUCUCUGCAAAGUCACAUUUUCCUGAAAAUCAUAUUCCUUUCUACUCAAGCGUCAUUUAAAUAUGGCAUGGCUAAUCCUUGCACUUAUGUAGACAGAAGUUUUAUUUAAAAAAAAAAGGCCAAGAGCAUUCUCUACUUGUUAUCCAUCUAUUGGUUGUGUUUUAUAUUUUUCAAUGAAUAUUUUCGGUCUAGAUUUUGUGAUAAACUUGAUCGUGUUGCCUUGAUAUUUUAAAUGUUUCAUCAAGAGAUGUGGUUUAUGGUUUCUACAUUAUAGUUUACCUUUUUCUCUGCAGUGUGGUUUUUGCCAAUUUUAUUUGACUCUUCCUUUUUUCAUCGGACAUGAUAGGUUCAAACGGAGGAGUAUUAAAGAUUUGCAAAAAAUGCUGCACAGGUGCAAUGAUGAAUUGCAACAGUUUAGUCAUGUCAACAAGAAAGCACUCGAUCAGUACAUAAAUUUUACAGAACAAAGAGAAGAACUUCAGAAAAGACAAGCUGAACUUGAUGCAGGAGAUGAGGUAUACUGUCAUUCCAGUAUAGGAAGUUCUUCAUAAUUGUUUCCAAAGAUACAAAAAAGUCUUCAAUGGCCAAUUUUGCCUGACAAGUAUUGCUGGUUCUGCACUUUAUCAUCUAAAGGUUUUCGAACAAAUGAUUUUUCAUGGCUGUGAAUGCUGUUGCAGUUUAUGUGUCUAUGAAGUCGUCUUGUUGAAUAUUCACCUGCAUGUGGAAUGACCUAUAUUUGUGAUAUUCUUUUGAUUGAGUUUCCAUUUUUUGAUGUAUCAUGCCCUGUAAUGUAGUUUUAAUGUGAUUUUUGGUUUUAAGUUUGGGUUUGAGUGUAGGACUGAUUCAAUUCCAACUUUUGCAUUUGUGAUUGUAUUGUAUACAACAUUGCUAAUUUUUUUUGACUUUUUUGCCGUUAAAUAAUUGCAGAAAAUCAGAGAGCUAAUAUCAAGUCUAGAUCAACGGAAGGAUGAAUCAAUAGAGCGCACUUUCAAAGGUGUUGCUAGGCAUUUCCGAGAAGUAUUCUCUGAACUUGUACAGGGGGGCCAUGGUCAUCUGGUUAUGAUGAAGAAGAAGGUUUGUUGCUAGUAAUUAAUGUCUUAGCUUCUCCCAUCAAUUUUUGUGAUUGCAUUGGAUAGAGAAAGGUGAUGCUUAAUAGUUUGUUUGUUAUAUGUGUUGUGUGUUGUAUAAUUGUUCAAAAUAAUAUAGCAACAGAGAAUUAUUAUUUCAGUAGAAGAGCACUCCUUUUAUAGGAGAAACACUUAAAUGUCAACUUCUCAAAUUUAGGAGUGAUAUAUUCAACAAUAAAAAUAAAUUUCCAUCAUGCCUACUUUCUUAUUAGAUGCUCAAGUGUCAGCCUUGCUAAAUUCUAAGUUAAAUGCCAUCUUUUAGUUGAUUUUAAGGCAAAAUGGACGAGCAUAAAAUUACGGAGUCAAUUUUUCAUUUAUAAAGUGACGAUCAACUUCAAUAUGCUUUGUCAUGCUGGAUGACAUUCUGGGCUAUGCUUAUUGCGGUUUUCACAUUACAACUUCAACAGGAGUUCUAGCAUCAUCUUUUGUUCCUUUAGGACUAUAUAUAUCCAUAGGCCCUUACAAAUUCCCUGGGCCAUUGCUCUAAACCCGGCUUUCGUGCUACUUCUGGCAACCGAUCUUUGUUUCUUGCUUCUCCAACUUACCAAGUUUCCCUACACGAAGGUACAAUAACAUAAAGAAGACUUCCUAUCUUUUACAGAACCCUUCCAGUCUAUAUUAGUAAAAAUAGCCACAUUCUUAUCAUUGGUUUUUUCAAAGAAUAGACCCUUUUCUGGGGUAGCUUUUACGUAUCUCAAUUCUAUACAGCCUCAAGAUGAUUUUCAUGAGAGUGCAUAAACUGACUGACAACACAGACGGGUAAGGCAAUAUCAGGACGGGUAUGGGCCAAGUAUACCAAUUUUCCAACCAACUUCUAGUAUCUCCCAAUAUCAACAUUUCUUUUUUCAUUAAGUUUUGCAUUUGGGAUCCAUAGGAGUAUUGGCUAGCCUUCAUUUCAAUCACUCAUUCUGGUUUCCUGCAAGAGGUCAAGAGUGUAAUUUCAAUGAGAAACUAAUAUUCCUUUCUAUAUAUAGUCUCUUCCAUGCCAGGAAAGAGAGCCUUUUAUUGGAGGAAUACAUAAUGUCAACUCCUCAAAUUAAUGAGUGAUAUAAUCGUAAAAUGAAAACUGUUAUCAAUAAUUUAGACUAAGAAUAUUCUAGUAUUCUUCGAGAUUUGUUUUUCUUCACAUCGUUAAAUUUGUAUGCUUUCAUGUCAAAACUGUUUUCUUGCUUCUGUUUGCAUGUGGCGUUUGAUUAUUGAGUUAUUUCCAUGUAUUUACACAAUGUGGCGUUUGUGAGAGUAAUCUCCAAGAGAUAAAUUGAUGUUUUACCUUCGUUACUGUAACUCAUGCAAAUGAUAUUUCUAUAUUUUAUUUCCUCUCUUAGGAUGGUGAUCACGAUGAUGAUGAUCAAGACGAGGAUGGUCCUCGGGAACCAAAUCCAGAGGGGAGAGUAGAAAAGUACAUUGGAGUGAAAGUGAAGGCAAGCGUAUUUGAUUUUUACAUUUUAUUUUUAUUUAUGUAAUGUAUGUACAACCUUUUGAAUGUUUAAAGUCAGAAAACGGCAUGGUGUGUAGAAUAUUAAUGUUCAUGUCUUGAGAUAUAUUUAGUUAUUUUGUUUUCUUGUUGGCAUUUAGAGAUGAAUUACAUUCAAUUGGCAGCACAGUAAAAAAAAAAAAAGAAAAAUUUGAUAUCAUUAAACAAAGACGUGUCCUGUUUUCUGACCCUUAACUGUUCUGUCUACCACAUUUUGGUUGGGGAUUUGGGUUUCUUCAGUGGCUCUUCAUUAAUCCUAGACAUGUUUAUACCUUGCAGGUUUCUUUUACUGGACAAGGGGAAACACAGUCCAUGAAACAGCUAUCGGGAGGUCAAAAAACUGUUGUUGCCCUUACACUUAUCUUUGCCAUACAGAGAUGUGAUCCAGCACCCUUUUAUCUAUUUGACGAGAUUGAUGCAGCGUUGGAUCCUCAGUACAGAACUGCUGUUGGAAGUAUCCAUUUUAUCAUUGUGGGUGCUAUUUGUCAUGCCCAAUGUCUGUUCUUGCAUUAUUCCAUCUGCAUGCUGCACCUGCCACUUCAUAUAAUGUUGCAUUGCAUAUUAGAGGUGAAGGUUUCAGUUGCACGUAGAGGAUCUUUGACCAUUGGAAUAUAUAAACCUUAUGGUUCCUUAUCAUUGAACAUGCAACCCAUACUCGGUUUGUGUUCUUUUCCUCAGCUAUUGCUAACUAAAUUCCUCAUAGCAUGAGUUAUUUUGUUGCAUUUAGUACUUCUGUUAGGAACACAUGCACAUUAAAAGAGACAACUGUGCAAGAGAAAAAUAUAUAAUUUCAAGUAAGUUUCAAGAAGCAAGCUACACAAGGCUUGAAUAGAGAAAUACUUACAGAAAUGGUAUGUGACAUGAUAUAUGGUAGGGUAUUAAGUGUCAUUUGGUCCAUGUCAGUGGUAAAAAACAUUUGUUAUUGUUUAUUUAUUACUGUUAGGUGGACUUGUGAUAUUAGAAAUCUGUUCAUGGUUGUGAUACUCUUUAGUAACAUCUAGAUUUCCUUUUAUACUCUCGUUCCUUUGGGGAUCCUUGACUUUAAUAGACAUGAUACGGCGCCUGGCAGACAUAGCAAACACUCAAUUUAUCACGACAACAUUCCGUCCAGAGCUAGUGAAAGUUGCCGACAAGAUAUAUGGAGUGACUCACAAAAACAGGGUCAGCCGUGUUAAUGUUAUAUCCGAAAAUGAUGCUCUAGAGUUCAUUAAUCAGGAUCAGACACAAAAUGCUGAAUAAGGUAAACACUAAACACUAUAACUUCACUAUUUCUCUUUCCGAUGUUUAUGACUGUGAUGAAUGCUCGUCACUCUUAUUUGGGGCUAGACAAAGUGGAAGAAACUCGUAUUCUUGUGGUAGACAAACUGAACUCUUAAUUUUUCUGGAAAAAUGAUAAACUGUGUUAGAAUUACGCCAUUGAUGAAUGUUAGGGAAAAAUGUUAAUCCCUAGGCUGGUAUGACAGCUAUCUAAAGCUUGCAAAGCAAGAUAAUACUAGUAUCUCUAAACUACUUACAAGGCUUUAUAAACUAAAUUGUUUAUUUUUUAUUUUUGGGGUAACAAACUGAAUUGGUAUGAACUUAUUAUUUCCAUUUUUAAAAUUUAUCACACCAUUUUAGUCAAAUACAUAUUUAUGUUCAACGUCUGUUUAUGGGGAGCCCCUAAUAUGGACCCUUAUUUUUAGGGUCUACCCAUAGUCCUUUGUAAAUGACCUGCAAUAGCGGGUAAUUACACUUCCACUCCAGUAUAAAUUUGGUACAAUUCACCUUUCUGUUAUUUUGCCAUCCGUUUCAAGUCUAACAGGAAGAACAACUUCCGCACAGAAUGUAACAACCACAUAAUGCUUCAACCUCUUAGUUAAAAACUCGAACCGGUUUAAGAAAUCCAGAUUAAAAGAAAAAUGGUUUGCUCUGAAAUGCUUGAUCCAUCGCGACAGCUGAUUCAAAACCACAGCUUCACGACGUUUUCUCUGCAUAACAUCCCAGGUCCUCCAUGGAGCCAUUAAUUUUGUUCCAGUUAACAAACUUGACUUCGGGUUCUGUAUGAAAGUGAUUAUCAUGGAGAUGUUAUGCGGAGAGCGUGAGAGCGUUAAUAGUUGCAAUCACGGUAGCGGCGUUUGCCCUUUUUCUCGAAAAAUGGAUUGAAGCUUUUCUUUUGAGACCUUAUUCAAAUGCUAGAGUUGCAAUGGAAUCUCAGUUCGACUUAAUGGCUAUGUUAAAUUGUUGAAUUCGAAUUUAAGCUUUUGAGACCAUUUUGGAUGGCUAUGUUAAAUUGUUGAAUUCGAAUUUAAGCUUUUGUUGAAUGAUGAAAUUAAAGUUGUGGAAUCAAGGAUUGAGCUUGUUGUGAAUUAGAUGAUUCGCUUGUUUUGAUUGCAAAAGCUCACUCACAUUAAAGAUUCAUAUGGAGGCCAUCCAUGUAAAUUGAGAAGGAAGUGUGUUUACCCACUAUUGCAAGUCAUUUAGCAAGGACCAUGGGUGGGUCCUAAAAAAAAGGGUCCAUAUUAGGGGCUCCCCGGUUUAUGAAUUGUUGUUAUUUAUUAUAAAGAAAAGUUAAUAUUUAAUUUAUUUGGUUUAUAUUUAUAUUUCUUGCCUUCCCUUUUAAUAAUAUCAUUUUUUCUCAUUAUCUCUCAUGUAUUAUUAGGUGUACUAUUCGCAUGGUCCGACCUAUAUCAGCUCUCCAACCUAGUUGUCAAACUCUCCAACCUGCUCUUUUGUGAACUGCUGCUACCAUAACAUAGGCCUUAGUAUCAGAAGUUUGAUAACCCUUCAUUAAUUUUUGUAAAUCCUUUUUAAUAUCUUCUGCUUACCGUGAUAACCGUAGAUCCAUGGAGAAGAUCAGGGUCUGUAUAUUUUAUUUGACUCCGUUUCAUUUGAAAAAAUGUAACGGUUGUUCGAUGUUUGAUUUGAUGUGUUUAGGGCGAAAAAAAUGACAGGAUAAAAGAAAAUAUUAACACUUUUUUAACACCUUUGAUUGAUUAAAAAGCCAGCGACUCCUAUGUACAACGUAAAAUAUUUUACGAGAAUUCCGCAAAUUGUUCAACCACACCGACUUUGACUCUCCUUCAAAGAAGUCUUACCCAUCCUCUAACCGAACCUGAUUCGCUCAAAUCUCCAUCACUUUAGCCUCUCCCUCCUUUCUCUCAUCGUAAACACGAGCUCCUCAGGCUUCAACGACCACCAAAGUGUUCAAUUUACCUUGAAAUGGUUUGCCGUCGUUGGACGAGCAUCCAUGAAAUGUUAGAGAUCCUCGACUGCAGAGCAGUCUUUGCUACCCGUCACCAUAUACCAUCAAUCAAAUUAAAUAUUAAGAUAAACAAUCAAACUGUCACGUGGGUCUCCAAAAAUCACAAUCCUUAACAAUAUAUAAUUUGCAAUAUGAAGAUUAAUUGAUUUAUUAUUUACAGCCUUUGAAAUCUCCUUUCUGAGAUCAGUUUUAGACAAUUAAUUAAUAAUCUAAUCAAACAAUAAGGGAGGCUAUGGAAGGAGUUACUAAGGUGAUGAGAUGCAAUGGUAAAUAGCAAAUGAAUAGGCAGAUGAAAUCGCCUUCUUCACAGAAGACACUCAACAAGCGUGUGAUUUUAGUAGACACAUCAUUCGCGAGUUGUUCGUGGUUGUUUUUGUUGCAGGCUCGCAGCAUUUUUCUAAAAUAUAUGUUGACAUCAAUCAUUAAAUAUAGGGUUAAAUAUGUUUUUGGUCCCUAUAAAUAUACCAACUUUUCGUUUUAGUCCCUCUAAAUUUUUCCUUCAACUUUUAGUCCCUGUAAAAUUUUCAAUUACUACUUUUGGUCCCUAUUUUUAAGUUAAUUUUUGUAUUUUUUAAUGAAAUUGUGCAGAAAUAUGUAGAAUAUUGUAAAAAAUAUUAACCCAAAAAAUUAGAAUUUUUUAACAAAACAUAAAUUAAUUAUGAAUAUUUAACCGUCAAACAUAUAAAAAUUCAUAUUAAAUUCAUGUUUUGUUAAAAAAUUCUAAUUUUUUUUGAGAGUUUAUUAUAAUAUUAUGCAUUUUUCUGCACAAUUAUAUUCAAAAAUAUGUUUUUUUUAAUACUUAAAAUAUAAUAACAAAGAAAAAGAUGGAACAACAAAAAAGGAGGGGGACCAAACCUCCUCACGGAUUUACAAACCUAUAAUUAGGCAUCCCUAGCCUAUCUUUAACCACAAUCCCUCUAAUACUAUCAGGGAUCUCUAACCAAACAGUGAGACCAUGAAGACUAAGACCUAUGUUAGCUAAAGAGUCAGCACAACAGUUGCCUUCUCUAUAUACUUGAGUUACCAAAAAAUGGAUGCCAGAAACAAAUUGCAGACAUUUUUCCCAUCUGUUUCUAAGAUACCAAGGGAUAAGAAGCUGAUUAGUGAAAGCUUUAACUACCAACAUACAAUCAUAUUCCAACCAUAAAGAAUGCCAUUGGUGUUGAGCUGCGAUUUCGAGAGCUCUCAUAGCCCCAGAGAGUUCAGCAUGAUAAGCAUUACCUAAUCCAUAAUUUUCUGCAAAACAAAGAAGGAAUUUUGCUUGACUGUCUCUGAAAAUCCCUCCACAAGUUGAAUGAUUGUUUUUAGAUGAGCCAUCUGUAUUGCACUUUAUCCAAUUGAAGAUUGGAGGAUUCCACACAACCUUAAUAAUUUUAGGGGCAUUUGCGGGGUGUAAACUGACACCAAACUUCUUUAAGACAAUGAAGUUUCUCAUGUCAGAAGAAGCUUUCUUACCAGUUAAGUUACCUGAUAGGGAGGCAUAAGAUAAUAUAUUUGAGACAGUUGUUCUCCAAUCAAUCUUUUUGUUAUUGAACCUUAAUUGAUUUCCUGGCAUACCAAAUUGAGCAGAAUACAUUCACUAGAGCAGAAGUCACCACCAAUUGGCAUUGUGCAUUCCAACCUUUAUUACAUAGAGACCAGACAUCCUCUUUGGAUUGAAAUUGCAUAGUACAAUUAAGCAUAGUAGCUAGCCAUCUCCAAACAAGCACUGCAUAAGAACAUUGGAAAAAAAGAUGGAAUGAGGUUUCUUCACAUUUAUAGCUGAGAGAGCACAUGGAAGGCAUUUGACAACCUCUAUUGGCCAGUUGAUCAUCAGUUGGUAAUUUAUCCAGCAUAACUCUCCAGACUGUGAUAGACUUGGAGGGAGGAAUAUCAAUAGACCAUAAGUGUUUUGUCCAGUCUAUCUUUGGGAAAUGGUGUCUUUUGAAUUCAUAAGCUUCUUUAAGAGAUAGGGUGCCAAUUGAAUUAUGCUUCCAAACCAAACAAUCUGCUUUCUCUUGACUGGGAAGAGUAACUUGCUCAGCAAGACUUCUAAUUUGAGGGAACACAUUUGAAACUUCAGAGGGAAAACUCCAUUGAAAAUUGGAGAUAUAAGAACAUAGAGAUGAAGGGAAAGACUCAAUCAUGCAGGGUGAGACAUUUAAAGUGUGGAUCAUUGGUUCAUCCCUCCAAACAUCAGUCCAAAAGUUGAUGUUAACACCAUUUUCAAUUUACCAGGUUGAAUUCUCCAUCACAGUUGAAAAUUCAGACUUGAUUCCACUCCAAAUAGAUGAAAAAAUAUGAUGUUUGAUGCAAGUACCUCUGAGAACUCUCCCUCUCAAGAUGGAUGCCCAUUGUUCCUCAAAAUGAAGAAAUUCCCAACAGAGCUUCGGGUUAGUUGCUUCAUUAAGGGAAAUUAAGGACCUCAGAUUUAGACCUCCCUCUUCAUAGGGAGCACCAACUUUCUUCCAAGCAACAGUCACCAGUUUCCUCUUGUUAAGGUCACCACUCCAGAUAAAAUUCUUUAUCCAUUUCUCCAAAUCCUUGAGCAGUCUUGUUGGCCAAGAAUACACAUACAUUGAAUGAAUAAACAUGGAUUGAAUGACAGAUUUUACCAGUUGAACUCUUCCAGCCAUUGUUAGGAGGGAAGCCUUCCAAGCUGCAAGCUUGAUUUUCACUCUAUCUGCAACUGACUGGAAAUAAUUGGCUUUUGGUUUACCUUUAAAGAUGGGGACACCAAGAUAGGUAAAAGGAAGAGAACCCAUCGAGAAGCUUAAGAAAUGAACAAUAUUUAACAAUCUAUCAUGAUUGAUACCACCAGAAAAAAAUGGAAGAUUUACCUAAAAUAAUCACUUGGCCAGAACAAUUAGCAUAGGAAGUAAAUAGGUCCUUCAAAGCCUCAAGACUAGACAUUUUUCCUUUACAGUAUACCAUUAUAUCAUCUGCAUAAAGACAAUGGGAGGGGAUUUUAGAUGUCCUUGAAGCACUGAUAAGAUCAACUUUCCCUUCAUCCACCAAUUUAGCGAUUCCUCUACUUAAAACCUCUUCUGCAAUGCAAAACAAAAGAGGGGACAAAGGAUCUCCUUGCCUGACCCCUCUUUUACACUUGAAGUAUCCCUCCUGCUUGCCAUUGAUACAAAUUGAUAUGUUGACUGAGUUGAGAAUGGUGAGAAUCCAAUCACAGAAAAUUUGAUUAAGACCAAACUUCUUCAAAACUGCAAUAAGAAAAUCCCAGUUUAGGGUGUCAAAAGCCUUUGAGAUGUCUAUCUUCAGUGCAAGGUUCCCACCAAAGCACUUUUUAUCAAGAACAUUAACUGCUUCAGAGGCUAGAGCAAUGCAGUCUUUAAUGUUCCUGCCUCGUAUGAAACCUCUUUGCUCUUUAGAAAUGAUACCUGGUAAUAUUAUUGCCAAUCUGUCUGCAAGUACCUUUGUAAUAAUUUUAAAUUUAAAAUUGGCAAGAGCAAUGGGUCUAAAUUGAUCAAUGGUGUCAGCAUUGGGGUUCUUGGGGAUAAGAAUCAAGGAAUUUGCAUUGAAGUUAUUGGGAAGCCAACCUGUCUGAAAAAAUUGAGUACUGCAGCAAUGACAUCUGUGUUGACAAUUUCCCAGUAUGUUUGGAAGAAAGCAGCACCAAACCCAUCUGGACCAGGGGCACUAUUGCUAUUUAGGUCAAAAACAUCAUCUUUGAUUUCUCUUAGGGAAGGAAUCAUAGUAAGCAGUCUGUUGGUUGAGGAAUCAACAAUUGUUGGGAUGACUUCUUUCGCAAGCAAAGGAUCCUGCAAACCAAAGUUAGUAGAAAAAAGAUUUUCAUAAUAAUUAAUAACAUGUGAAGAUAUUCUUUGAGGGUCAGACAUUAUUUCAUCUCCAUUUCUUAGAGAAGAAAUGAGCUUUGUUUCGUUUUUGAUUUUUGUCACUCUAUGAAAAAACUUGGUAUUUCUGUCACCAUCCAAAUGCCAAUUAAUUCUUGCUUUUUCUUUCCAAAAUAAAUCAUGCUUGUUAAGGGCAUCUUCAAGAAUACAUUGGGCAUUCUUCUCUUCUAUCAUCAGGGAGUCAUUAUGUCCAUUGAGAUGAAUUUGGUGUUGGAUCGCUGCAAGUUUUGCUUCAACUUCUGAAACAUAACCAUGUAUAUUGCCAAACACAUCUUUGUUCCAUAGUUUGAGUUUGUCCUUCAAAAUUUUGAGCUUAGUGCUGAGGAUGUGUAGGGGGCAGACAAUAACUCUAGUAUUCCAGGUAUCAGAGACUAACUGCUUACAAUCUUUAUGAAGAGUCCACAUUUUGAGGAAUUUAAAGUUGGAGGCAAAAGUCUGGGUGGAUAAAGAGAAAUCUAACAGGAUAGGAUAAUGGUCAGAACUAGUUUUGGUGAGGGUUGAGCAAGAAAUGGUAGCACAAAGGUCAAGCAACUGUUGGUUACAAAUGGUUCUAUCAAGUCUUUUUUUUAGUAUGCCUUCUACCAGAUCUUCUGUUGUUUCAAGUGAAAGAUACACCCCUAGUGGGGAGGUGAACAAGAUCAUGUAUAUCUGUCCAAUGUUGGAAAUCAGCAAUAGAAAUUCUAGCAGGGAUAAAAUUACCACAAUAUGCAUGUGCACCUAAAAUCACAUUGAAGUCACCAAUGAAAGCCCAAGGGGCAUUAAAAUGAGAUUGCAGCAGAGAGAGCUUAUCCCAAAGGUUUCUUCUUCUCAAGUGAUCAGUAGAGGCAUAUAUAGCAGACAUAUACACUAGGUUAUUAUCAACAGUGAUACUAAAAGAAACUUGUUGGUCAUCUAUAUCUAUCAAGGUAGGGUUAAUGUCAGAAGCAAAAAUGCACCAUAAAUUAGGUAGAAGAUUUUGUCUUUCAUUGAAGGAAAAAGUCUUAAACUCUAAUUUAUGUAACCAAGUAGAAGGGAAAUCAUCAUAAUUCAUCCAAGGUUCAAAAAUGAAAAUUAAGUCAGGUUUUUGAAGUAAAAUUAGUCUUUUCAAAGCUAACCUUGAUGGGGAGUUAGCUAUACCCCUUAUAUUCCAAUAUAAAGUAUUCGUCUAAAGGGUUUUGGAUUACCAGUCUUUUUCCUGGUGCCAUAGUUGCCCACAACAGCUGGUUUCUUCUUUGUCAUCUUUGCUUUGGAUUUAACCACCUGGAAACCAUCAUCAACAUCCUCCUGAAUGGGUAGUUUCUCCAAAUCACUAAGUAAUUUUAUCUCUGCAUCAAUAUCUUCAGCCAUGUUAGCCCAAGACUGAUUGAGAAACUCUGUGUUUCUUUUUUCCAUUUCCACUCUUCUUGCUUCUUCUAUGUCCUGCUGCCUGGUAGAAAUAUGUUGAGAGCUAGAGGUAACUUCUUCACCCUCUGGCAUAUCCCUACCUUUAAAGUCAUCUCCAUCAACCAUUGUAUCUUCCACAUAUUCAGACUCAUGUGAAGCAGAGUCUUUUCCAGAAUGAAAUUCUUCAUUAAUUUCAUUUUCAAGUUCCAUAUCAUUCCUUCUCAUUUCAUUUCUACUUCAUUUUCUAAAAUCUCAUAACGAUUCCUUUGUUGGAUUUCUUCUGUAUCUCUAGUUCCACUUGUGCCAACACCAUCAGCACCCACAACUGCUUUAGCAGCAGAAACAUUCUUGUCAGCAUCUGCAAUCUCUUCGACAAUAAUAGGGUUAACAACUGUCUUGCCCUGUUUUACCCAAUUCAUUUUCUUGUUUCUCUCAUCCUUCUUUAUCUCAGCGACAUCAUUUUUAGAUGGAACAUCAUGAUUUUUAGCAUCUACUUUUGUGAUAAACCUACAAACGUCCAUACAAUGCCCAACCUUCCUACAAUGAUUGCAGAAAUCAGGCAAGUUUUCAUAUUCGAAAUCAACAAAGAAGGCAAAAUCCUUCCUUUCAACAAGUACCUGAUACCUUAGAGUUUGUGAUAUAUCCAUAUCCACAAGAACCCUAGCAAAUUGUCCAAAAGAUCUUUCUAUCACAGGCCUUGAAGAGGGAGAAUCAGUGCAAAUUGGGGUUCCUACACUACUUGCUAUAGCAAAAAGAAUCCUAGGUCUCCAAUAUUCCUGAGCCAGACCAUAAAUUCUUAGCCAAACCUGUGCAUUGGAACUAUUCUGCAAACUAGGACUAAAAUCCCUUGUCCAAGCAAACAUCUUCAUAAUUCCUGGGUUUAGAUUCAAAAAUAUGUAUUUUACAUAUGAGUUUACUUUAAGAGAGGGAUCAAAAGUGAAGAUGAAAAAUAUUUGAAGGACUGAAAGUUGAAGGAAAAUUUUAGGGGGACUAAAAUAAAAAAUUGGUAUAUUUAUAGAGACCAAAAACAUAUUUAACCCUUAAAUAUAUUCCCUAAAAAAAAAAUCAAUCAUUAAAUACAGGGUUAAAUAUGUUUUUGGUCCUUAUAAAUAUACCAACUUUUUGUUUUAUUCCCUCUAAAAUUUUCCUUCAACUUUUAGUCCCUAUAAAAUUUUCAAUCUUUACUUUUGGUCCCUCGUAAAGUAAACUCAUAUGUAGAAUUCAUAUUUUUAAAUAAAAUUUUGCAAAAAAACGUAUAAUAUUACAAGGAUCUCUCCUAAAAAAUUUUAUAAUUUUUUACCAAAACAUGAAUUAAAUAUGAAUUUUUAUAUUUUUGGCGGUAAAAAAUUCAUAUUUAAUUCAUGUUUUGUUAAAAAAUUCAAAAUUUUUUUUUGGAGUGAUUUUUACAAUAUUUCAUACAUUUCUGCACAAUUUUAUUAAAAAAUACAAAAAUUUACUUAAAAAUAGGGACCAAAAGUAGUGAUUGAAAAUUUUACAGGGAUUAAAAGUUGAAGGAAAAUUUUAGAGGGACUAAAACGAAAAGUUGGUAUAUUUAUAUGGACCAAAAACAUAUUUAACCCUUAAAUAUAUCCCUAAAAAAAAUCAUUAAUUAUACAUAUAAGAUUGCAUGCAUAUUUACUUUGUAAAUAUAGAAAAGGAUAUCAAUAUUGACAUUUUUUUGUUCGGUCACAUGAGAGAAAUCAAUAUUGUUCAUAUACUAUAACGAAAUAAGAUUAAAAUAAACCCUUUUAAAAGUGUCAAAUAUUGUUUUUUUAAUGAGAUUUAACUAUUUUUUAAUUAAUAAUUUAAAUUCCUACCGUAGUGGUGUUCUUCCUAUUUUAAUGAGAUUCAACAAUAUUUUAAUUAAUAAUUUUUUUGACAAAAUUAUUUUAAUUAAUAAUUUAAAUAAUAAAGUAAAAUGGAUAAAAUUGUAGACAUAAUAGUUUAAAAUUAAAUGAAGUAUUAGAAGGAAAAACUUAGUCUCUGUGAGUUUACCUCAGUUGGUAAGUAUAUGCAAGAUACGUGGUUCGAACCCGGACACCACCAAAAAAAAAACUUAGAAGUGAAAAAGCCUCCCAAAAUCAUGUACCCAUUUAUAUAAAUUAUUUAUUAUAUAUUCGUUAGGUAACUUUUAAUAUAAUCAUUUUUAAUUGAUGAAUUGAUUGCAAAAAUUUUGGUUAAUUAUGUGAUUGAAUUAUUAUUUUAAUCAAUUUUAUGUAUCUAUAAGUUUUUUUUGAAAAGAUAAGAAAAUAAUUUUUAUGAUUACAUGUACUAAUUUUAUUCUUUCUCGACAUGUACUAGUGAGUGAGAUCUUACUAUAAUGAGUCUUCUUUUUCUUUAAUUAUUUAUGAGAUAUUUAAAUUUUUAAUAAUAAUUUUGCACAACACAAAAUAAUCUUAUAUGUGUCUUAGGCUAAAAUAGAGAAAAAUUGCAAAUUUUAAUUUAUUUUAUUUAUGCUAACAAUCUUAGUUUCUACUAUUGUAAUCCAAGUUUAGAGAGCUUAUUUACGCGGAAAACUAAAAUCAGUAUCUCUAUUUUUUUCUUCAAAAAAAAGUAUUUCUUUUUGAGGAACAAAAAAUAAUAUUUGAUAGUUAAAGAAUUUUAAACAUAUAUGAUAUGUUGUUUAAUUAUUUUUCUUCGUAAAUUUAAAUCAUCUUUGUUUUGAUAUACUUAGAUAUGUGUCUGUCAUGUAACCAAAAGAAAAAUAUACGUGUUUGUCACACAACCUUAUUUAAUACAUAUUACUUGGAAAAAACUACUUGAGUAUAAAAUGAAAAAAAAUUAAGGUUAAAAUAUGAUUUUAAUCCUUGUAAAUAUGUCUCGUUUUGGUUUUAGUCCUUGUAAAAAAAAAAUUUGUUUUUGGUCCUUGCAAAAUUUUUUGUUUUUGAAAAUAGUCCCUGACCCUAUUUUUGUGAUGAUUUGCAUACGUGGCACAUGAUGAUUGAACCCAUUUUGUAGUUUUUGGUCCCUGCAAAAUAUUUUGUUUUUCAAAAAGGUCCCUGCGAAAUUUUUUGUUUUUGAAAAUAGUCCCUGGAGGGAUUAUUUUCAAAAUCAAAAACUUUCGCAAGGACCAAAAACAAUUUUAUUUUUUUACAAGGACUAAAUUCAAAACGAGACAUAUUUGCAGAGGCAAAAAUGUAUACAACAUGCAACCAGAUGAUGAAUAAUAGUAUAGUGAUUUUUCUAUAUAAUUUUUGACUUGUUGCUUCUACUAUCAAUUUUAAACGAUCUGAUUUAUUGCAGGUUAUAGCUAUCAACAACAAAUUCCCAGGCCAGUUAUUAACGUUACUACCAAUAAUCAUGUAUCAUUGAAUGUUUUCAAUGAUCUGGAUGAAGAUCUUCUUCUCACAUGGUUUGUUUUCAAAACUUUAUUUUACCAUUAAACAUAUGGCGUUGAGCAUAGGUGGUAGGAGCGGCCACCGCCCUAGACACCAAUUUUUUAGGGCAUCAAAAUUAUUAUUUUUACUCGGUGGUUAGUACAUAUAAAUAUAUUUCUUUUUAACUGGUUUUGAUCAAUUCUACUAAAUUAUUUUUAUUUUUUUGAAAGAAUGAAUCUUUUGCAAUAAAGAAUACAAUAAGAAAGACAUUCGAAUAAGUAAAAGGAAUACAAAUUUAUUGAUUCGUCCAGGACAAAAAAAUCUCACGACAUGCCUUGUAUACGAUGUCUUUUUUUAAUGUUCAAACAACAUAACUAUUCUUCAUAUACUUUGUGGCAAUCUAAUAAAUUUGAGGAAACAAAUGAUUGUGACAGGCAUGGUGUUCAAAUGAGGCGUAACUCGUGGCAAGACGGAGUUCUUGGCACGAAUUGUCCUAUUCCUUCAAAAUCGAACUGGACAUUAGUUAUCUUCAUCUUUCCCCUUUUCAUGCCAUAUACUUAUAUGAAGCACAUACAUGAUCACAAGAUACAAUACUGACACGUGUCGGAUACUAGACAGUAACCUUUAUUCUGAAGGGUCGGUGCUAGUAGAUAUUGCGAGUUUUGGUGCCUUGUAUUUUUUCCUAAUAGUUUCUUAAGUAUAUUGGUUUUGGCUAGUUCUUUCCUCUGCAGAGUAGUUUGUUUUGACCAGAGCCAUUCAGUAAAAAAAAUAGUUUUAAACAUCUCAAAUAACUAUAUCUUAAAUUUUCAGCUCUCAUUCUUGAUUUAUGUUAAAACAUGAAAUGUAUUAUUUUGUUUUCUCUUUUGAAUCCUUUUUCUAAUACCUUGUAUUUUCUCAAAUGGUAUUGUAUAACAUUCAGAUUGGUAAUAACUUGUUGGCUGCAUUUGUUUCUUAUUACUACAUUUCAUUUUCGAGUUACUUUACCUUUAAAUGUGACAUAGAUUUUCAUCUUAUAUUCUACUGCAUUUUGUUAGAAUUGGAAGAACUUGAAUUCUGACAGAAACUACAAAUAUAUUUCGCAGGCAAGACCUAUCGAAUUCGUGUGCAUAAUGUGGGAAUUUCGACUACAUUAAACUUUAGAAUUCAAAAUCAUAACCUAUUACUGGUAGAAACAGGAGGGCAUUACACAACUCAAAGAAAUUUGACCAACUUCGAUAUUCAUGCUGGUCAAUCUUAAAGAAGACGGAGACACAGAAAUCAGUCAACCAGCUAAUGUUCUGUUUUGUGGUUCUCUCAAAAGCUUACAAAUGUAACUUCUCAUGCUUCCAUUGAAUUUGUUUUUUAAAUAAUAACUUUUAGAAUAGAUAGAUUUAAUAAGGGAAGAUCAUUCGGAAGAAUGAUCCUUUUUAUUCUAUUUAUAGUUUUUAAGAUUAAAUUGAAAAGAUCGAUAGGUCUAUAAUCAGUAGGAAGUUUAGGAUAUUUAAUCUUAGGAAUAAGGCAAAGGAAAGUAAUUGAUAUGACUAGGAUCUCCAUUCUGAUUUAGGAUAUUCAAGACAUAACUUAUGAUAUCAUUACCAAUAAUUUCCCACCCAAUAAGACUAAUAGAAAAGGGCAUGUAACCCAUCAGGACCUAGAGCAUCAAUGCCUUUCACUCUGCUUUAUAGGUUUGAUUUUGGGAUAUAUAUAUUAUUUUCGAGAGUGUUUCACUAAUCAGAGUCUGGAGUAGUGUUCAGAUUCUGAUGCAUAUUUGAACUCAGCGGUUUAAGAUCAAAACACAAAGAGAGAGAAAGAGAGAGAGACACAAACAUAUAUCAUGAUUCCUCUCAUAAAUCGAGAGUAGUACAAUCUCCUUGCACUUUAAAGGGAUUUUCAAAUGCUAGCACACAAUCAAGAAACUUCCAAUGUUCAAGCACACAAGCAAGAGACUUAUAAUGUUCAAUCGCAACUGAAAGAGACUUCUCACAAUAUAUCGUAAUCAAAUAAAAAAUUGUUUGAUUUUACACUUGAUAUACAAUCAGACGUGUAAACAAUUACAAAGCAAUUAGAGAUGAUUAUGGCGGCUAGAAUUGUUCCUGGUGUGCUACUGUGCGGCAAUACACAUAGGACUUAUCAUACACCUUCAUGGUGCUUCUCUGUGAGGAAUGUGGGCCCUGACUUCAUUGGUGAAUUCACAUUGGGUUUUAUGUCGUCCGGAACGUAAUCGAUUUCACAUGAACUCCAUGAAUAUUGAAUCAAUUUGACGAUUGAAUCAAUUUGACGAUCCUACUGCCCUGACCUGUAUCAAUUUAAAAUGGACUAAAAACUUUCUAACAUGUGUUAGUCGAUUCAGAUCAUUAGUUAUGUCAUUUGAGUUAAUUCAAGAGUUAAAGAAGUGUUUAAAAAUAAUAAUAAAAUGCACAAAAGAUCCCAGACUACAACAAAAAGGUUUCCCAUAGCUUUGAAAUAUGAAUUUUAACAAAAGAGUUUAUGCAUGAAAAAUUAAUUUAUGCAAGUAAGACAUCAAUCAAUUUAAUAUAGUUGGUAUGUGAUGUGAUCCUAAAAUUCUCUCCCUUGACAAGAAUAAUAAAGUCAUUGUGAAAAAGAACCAAAUUAAUUUUGGUUCAAAGUUUUAUUUUCGUAGGUCAUGAUAUGUAUGUCUUGUUUUGGCUAUAUAUAUGGAGUUCUGGAUGUCCGAGUGAGGUAAUCUUUUACUCUAUGGAAAGUUUACAAAAUUCUCUACAUUUUGUCUGAAGAGCAAAUUCGGAAUAUUUAAUGGUGUAAAAUGAACUGUAAGUUGAAGAUAUGAUUAAAGUGUAUAAGCUGAAAAAUUAAAGAUGGUGUUUGUGGAAUUGUAACAUCUAUAAAUAACAAGCCUUGAUUAAUCAAUGUGCAAAUGAAUAUGUAACAUCCUCAUGCAUUGAUCAGCGACCAACUUCAAAGAUCCAAUUAAAUUGUAACCUCUCUUCUAAUAACUAGCAACCUAGGAGUUAUAACACUAGUAAUCAUGCAAUAAUUGUAGUUUUUGAUAAGUAUUGCAGCCUAUUCCUAUAUAAAGGGGACUCACACAAUGAAUAAAAUAAGAUGAAUUUUGAUAAAAAAAAAAAAAAGGUCACUUUAUGUGAAUUUGAAAGCUUUGCUUCUUUUUGGUUUUGGAUUAAACCAUGACUUGAUCUUAUCAAAAAACUACAUUUUUUAUGGCGAUCCUCUACCAAGCUAAACAUCUUCCUUAGAUUGGGAUUUUGUUUAGUUACCAUUUUCGGUCUAUUUCCAUCAUUCUUUAACCUUAAUAACGAAAUCCCCGCAUUAUUCACAAAUAUAUUCAAAUCAAAAUUAUAUCCCUUUUUACCUUCAUCAGUAUGUCAUAGGAAUUACUUGUUACUUUCACUCUAUUACAUUAAAAAAAAAUGACCUAUUGAUCUAGCUGGGAGGCAUUUAACAACAACUCCAAUUUAAUAAUGGUUUAUUGCAUCACCAAAGGGAUAAAAACUAUUUACUUGACAUUAAAAAAACAUGAAACUUUACUUAUAAAGUAAUCAAACAAGUUUAUAUUUAUAACAUCUAAGAGAAAAAAAAAAAAAAACAUUUAAGAGAAGAAAAAUAUGACUCAAAUUUCCAUAUCUUUUUAUGCUUUGAUAAUCUUUUUUUCUCUUUUUCUUGUUGUAACCAAUGGCCGAAGUAAUUCUUGCAUUAUUUUCGCAUUUUCUUCUUUAUGUUAUACAUAAUAUUUCAUUACAUUUAAGUAAUAUUCAUUUUAUUUUUUAUUUUUGAAGGAAGUAACAUUCAUUUAUUAUUAUCUUACUAUACUAUACAGAUAAGACGUGCAACUACAGUAGUGAAUGUCUAUUUCAUAAUUGUCCCCUUGGUUGGGUUAUGAAGUGUUUCACUUAUUUUUGUGCGUGCUCGUAAGUCUAUUUGAAUCUUGAACCCUUUAAUUAAUCUUUUUUUUUUCUUAACCAAUGGAGGACGAGAAAAUAAACAAACAUAAGACCCUCCUAUGUCGAUUUAUAAUUGUGUGUUAAGCUAUGAUAAAUUGGUAUGGUGUAUAGCGUAAACAUUAAUGUCUAAAAAAAUAGUCUUCAUAAAAAAAACUUGGCAAUGCUUGAAAUAUUAUCUUGUGUUGUUUUGAUAUGAACAAUUGUGAUAUGUGAUUAUUCCCGACCAUAUCUAUGAACUUUCUCUAACUAAGGAGUGAAAUAUUAUCAUUCAUCAUAAUAAAAACGAUGGUAUUUUUGUCCAUUCCCAUGUCAUUUUGCUAAUUUGAUGAUUUGGUAGUGAUUAAGUUGGUCAAAGGACGAAAUUUUAAAUGAUUAAACAAUGCAAGGGUAAAUUGCCAGGAUUAGCGAUUACAGAGACUAAUUUUUAAAUGACGCCUAAUUGUAAGGACGAAACACAUCAUUAAGCCUGAAGUAUAUUAGUGUACAUUUUGAUAUGUUUAUGUCUCCUUAACCAUAUUGGUGCUAUGUAUAUGUGUUAGUGUCUUUUGAACUAUUUAAAUGUGCAAUAUGUUCAAUAUUUUACUAAGUGUGAAUAUACGACUAAAUUUAAAUAUUUUUUCUACUACUAAUAUACCUUGACAUGAUUUGAUUAAACCAUCCUUCGUUGUAUGUGUUAGGCGCUUGUAACAGGAACAUGUACGAAUCAACAUUCGUAUCAAGUCAAUUUGUCGGUGGCUAUUAAAGAUGUUUAUCUAUUUUUUUUUUUUUUGGUAGAAGAUGUUUAUCCACUUUAUUUUGUAUUAAUAAGUUCUAUCCAUUAAUAUGAAAAAUAGUAUAUGUUUGAUAUAAGCAUAUAAUUUAAUUGUAUGUCAUAAUUUCCCUCACACUUUAAUAUAUAUUUUUAUUUGAUCUUAAUGGAGAUGGGUUCCCGGGCCUGAUGGGUUUAAUGGUUAUUUUUACCAAGUCUUCUGGGAGUUAGUUAAAUUUGAAUUCUAAUUUGGUGGUUUUGAUUCCUAAGGUGCCUGGUGCAGAUAAGUUCGAGAAUUUUCGUCCUAUUGCUUUAGUAAAUUUCAAUACAAAAUUAUUUCCAAAAUUUUGGCAGGUUGUCUAUUGUGGCUCCUAAAAUUGUCUCUUAUAAUCAAAGAGGUUUUCUUUUAAAUAGUCCAAACGCAUAAUGCCUAUGCGCGGUAUUUUAAUCAUAACUCAAGUUCUAAAAAUUUAAAUGGAGUUCAACCAAAUUAAGAUGAAUGUUAAUAUUCAUAUCUACGACUUUUAUGAAGACACUUAAACCUAAUUCAAAACAGAAAGUGGUAGAAAAGUUGAUUUUCCUAAGCCGGGGGAAAGUGCACGACCAUGCUGACCUAUGUGUAGUAUUUUAAUCAUAUCUUGAGUUCUAGAUGUCGAAAUAGAGUCCCAUCAAAACCCAAUGAAAUCUAACAUCCAUAUUUACAACUUUGAUGAAGCAAUGAAGCAAAAUACAACAUUGUAAAUGUCAAAGGAAUUCUGAACCUUUUCUUCCAUAUCAUUAUGAGUCUAGUUACACAAUUAGUGUAACAAUUAAAAUACAAAAAGAAAAUGCUUGUUGGAAACGAAGUUGAUCCAUUUUUGCAUAAAAGGGAUAGAACAAUUUUAUAAGCUCUCAAACUCAACUUGGAGAAAUCCUAUUAAAUUUAUUUUAGAAACAAAAGGAGAAGAUUGCAAUAAAAUGAACUUUAUGAGUUGUUUUCAAAUUAACCAUAUUCUAUACCUAUCAAAUUUUAGAAAAUGGAGAGAAAAAACAAUGAAAUAUCUUUUAAUUAUAAUUGUUGUGUAUGUUUUCAAAUUGCAAAGUUGGGAAGCAGAGAAAUCGUGACACGAUUUUGGUAAUGUCGAGAGCUGGUUUUCAGGGCGUCCAAUCGUGACACGAUUUUGGGAAAUCGUGACACGAUUUUUGGCUUGUUGGGCAAGAUUUUCAGGAUAAGGUUGGUCGUACCUUUGAUCGAACGCAUCAAUCGUGGCACGAUUGGGGAAAAACGUGACACGAUUUCGACGCAGAAGACAGCUAUAUAAGUGUUCUUUGCAGAUUUUGAAAGAGAGCUUGAAGAGAGAGAAACUUGGGAAAUCAAAGGAAGCAACUUUAGGGUUUAGGGUCUUUGAUUAGAGUUCUCUUGGGUUGGGAAACAUUGUAAACACCUUGGUGAGUGAAAAUCAUUGAGUAUCUUGUUCAUUGGUGAGAUUGAGAAAAAAGGGUAGAAAUUAGGGUUGUUCUUUGUGAACUUGUCAAAGCUAAUUUCUUGUAACCCUUUUGUAUCUCUUCGUAAGAACUCAUUGAUAGUGGAUUGGAGAGAUCAAUCUCUCCUACAGAGUAGGUCAAGUUUGGACCGAACUAGGUGACCAAUCUUUGGUGUGUUUGUUUCUCUCUUCUCUCCUUUUAUCUUUUGCUUGUGGUUUUGUGCUUUUCACUUCCUAGAUUAGAUCUAGGUGCUGUUAUUGUUGAUUAUUGCUUGAAUUCACUUUGAUAUUGGUUAAUACUUUCCUUUGCUCCACACAUCAUAGUUUGUAUUGGUGUGAUUUUGAGACCGGAAUUCACAACAAUAAUCAAACAAUGUUAGAAUUAACUUCAUAAAAUCUAUUACUUUACUUAUAUAAAAGUUAAUAUCCUAUGAAUUACCAUUUUUGCCCUCAAGAGGGGCAAUUUGGUAAUUCAAUUAUUCAUUAACCUCACCUCAUUAUAUAUAUAUAUAUAAUAUUCUAUAUUUUAUUUUAUAUUAUUUUCUUUUUUAUUUUAUAUUUAUUUUAUAAGAAUAAAAAUAAUCAUAAAUUCAGUUGUUUCUAAACUGUUGUUGUGGGAGAUUAAAACACCGUUUGACUCGACUUUUUUUCAAUUUUUCUACAUUUUUAAGGAGAAGUUAGGCCAAAAUGUUUAAUACGAGCCAAAAUUAAACCACUCAAAUUAAGUACUUACUAAAAAAAGUAUUUUUUUAAUGCAUAAAAUUGAAUGGAAUGAGCUUUGGCCAAAAGUUGUGGAAUGCUAUCUCAAAAAACUACUUGUCGACAAUUUAUUUUACAAGCACCUCUCUUAAACUCAUGUUGGGAACCUUUUUCUUUAUUUUUUUAAUAUUAUAUUUCAAUAUGUUUUUUUUUCUUCCGUUUAAUUUUAUUUUAUUUUUUGAACCGUUCCAUUUAAUUUUUUAAGGAGGUUCCAUUUAAUUUUAUUAUCUUUUUUUCAAGGGAAUUUUAUUAUCUUUUUUUCAAGGGAAUUUUAUUAUCUUUUUAUCACUCAAAUAUUUAAUUUCAAUAUAGUUUAAUCAUCACAACCUCACAAAUAUUUUUAUUCACGUUGUCUUUUAAUGAUACCAAAUAUUUUUAUUUUCUAUCUUCAACCUCGCAAAUAUAUUCACACACGCUAGCAUUUAGAGUAAUAUUUUAUGUCCGUAUGUCUGUUUUUUUGUUACGCUAAUGCGUAUAAUUUUUUUUAGCGUUGCAUAAUGCAUAUGAUUAUUUUUAUAAAAUUUUGAUUUUAAUUAAAAAUACAAGUAUAGAUGCCUAAAAAAAUUAUACUUAUGUAUAUUUUGCACCUUUAUAUUGUAAUAAAUUAUACAUAUAUUUUUCUUAUUAAAAAAAACUAAACAUGUAUGUUUCAAUGACACCAACAAUGUAGCAAAUAUAAUGUCAAAUAAUAUAAAUUCUUAUCUUUUUGAAAGUCACCAAAAAUAUGGUAUUCUUAUAAAAAAAUUUGUUAAUUUGUGUUAAGAUACAUACUGCAUCACUAUUGGAAAAAUAACUAAAUUCAAUCCUGACCAAUUUGGAUGGUAUUAUAAGAGUUGCACCAAAUAUCCAAAGGAAUCAAAGUCAAAUGGUUUCUAGCUAUAGAUAUACAUGCGGACAGGAUGUUGAUGCUCCAUUGACUAGGUUACAUAUUUAAAAUUUCAUGUGGUAGAUUAGUGUUUUUUGUUUAGCACAUUUAUAAUAUGUCUUUGAAUCUAUCCAUUUUAUCAAAUACAAGGUUGUUGUGCAAGUUGUUCAUGAUAGUCACAAGGCUAAAUUUGUGUUCUGGGAUAGUGAAGGUCUUCAGAUUAUUGGUAUAACUACCCAAGCUCUUAGGAAGACUAUGCAAGAGGUAUCCCUAAUUUAAUUUUCAUCUUAUUUUCCGCAUGGUUGAUAGAUAUUAUAACUUAUGUAAUUGUAUUUUUUUAUGAAGGUCGAUGAGAUGAUCCUAAAAUAUACCAAAAACAUCUAUAUAAACUACUCGGCCUUGAGUUUGUGUUACGUGUCAACCAUCAUCCAUACUAUCAUCAAUCAUUCGUUUUAGGUGUUUCCCGUGAUCCCGUUGUCAUCAAAAAAAUUAAGUCUCAUCUUCAGCUAGAGAAGCAACAACUUGAUGAGGUUCUUUGUGUCUGUCGUGUUCUUUUUUUAAUAAUUGAUUUAACUGUUUCUUUUUCUGGCACUUAUAUUUGGUUUUCAUUUUAUUAUUGUAGAAUGUUAUCUAUGAUAAUCCAACCCAGACAUUCAUUCUUGAGAAGAAUAAUGCUUCUGCUAAGUGCUCAGAUUCCCUUAACACUCCUACGGUAUAAUAAUUAAGCACAUUGAAUUUCUCUGUGAUUUGUUAUUGUAAUAAUUAAUAUUAUAUUCAUUUUAACUAUGAAAAUUUUAUCCUUAUUGUGACAACAUUCCUUCUCUGCUUGUGGUGAAAAUGAUUUGGAAUUACACUCAUGCAAAGCGUUCGUCCACUUAAAAAUACCAAGAUGACAUUGCAUCUGAUGCCUAUAAUCCAAUGCAAUUGUCUUCCACUAAGUUGGCCAAACACAUCAUGAAGGAGUGAUUGACCUUUUCUUUGUCUGCUUUUUUGAAAACAUGUCAUAGACUCUUGCAAAGUUAUUUGACUUUCAUAUAUAAUUAGAUUCUGAUAUGUUAGUCAGGAUCUCUAACUAGAAAAUAAUGGUUGUGUCCAAAAUCUAAUAUGAUAAAGAAAUCAUGUAUGUAAGUUGAACAACAUUUUUUUUUAAUUUUAAAGUUUUUUAGCAUGUGAAACACAUAAGAUUGAUCAUAAUUUAUGAUUUCUAUUUCUGCCUCUUUAAAAAAAAAUAAUUGGUUGAAUAUAGUCACCAAUGAACAAGAACAGUUGAACUCUUAUUUAUAAUUGGUUGCAUAGGACGGAAAAUAUUAACUUUAUCAGUGCAUUAUGUCACCCAAUUGAUUUGUCUAUGAUCUUAACCAAUAUUCUUAGAAAAAAUGCAUCAACAUUGUUGAAACAAAUGAAAAUUAACAUCUCUGUAAAAAAUUGCUAAAACAUGUUGCAUACAUUUAAAGACAAAAAUGUUAAUAGCAUUCCAUGAAAACACAUUUGUAGAAACAAUGGUGUUACGAACUACAUAAUAUAACUUUCAUGCAAUGACACCUAAUUUUAAUNNNNNNNNNNNNNNNNNNNNNNNNNNNNNNNNNNNNNNNNNNNNNNNNNNNNNNNNNNNNNNNNNNNNNNNNNNNNNNNNNNNNNNNNNNNNNNNNNNNNNNNNNNNNNNNNNNNNNNNNNNNNNNNNNNNNNNNNNNNNNNNNNNNNNNNNNNNNNNNNNNNNNNNNNNNNNNNNNNNNNNNNNNNNNNNNNNNNNNNNNNNNNNNNNNNNNNNNNNNNNNNNNNNNNNNNNNNNNNNNNNNNNNNNNNNNNNNNNNNNNNNNNNNNNNNNNNNNNNNNNNNNNNNNNNNNNNNNNNNNNNNNNNNNNNNNNNNNNNNNNNNNNNNNNNNNNNNNNNNNNNNNNNNNNNNNNNNNNNNNNNNNNNNNNNNNNNNNNNNNNNNNNNNNNNNNNNNNNNNNNNNNNNNNNNNNNNNNNNNNNNNNNNNNNNNNNNNNNNNNNNNNNNNNNNNNNNNNNNNNNNNNNNNNNNNNNNNNNNNNNNNNNNNNNNNNNNNNNNNNNNNNNNNNNNNNNNNNNNNNNNNNNNNNNNNNNNNNNNNNNNNNNNNNNNNNNNNNNNNNNNNNNNNNNNNNNNNNNNNAUCGUUUAAACUUCUGUUUGGUUUUUGUCACAAGUGGAAAAUGUGAGAUUGCUCUGUUUGGAGAUUAUGUGGAUCACUUGAAACAACUCAUGGCCAAAGUUGAUGAAGGUUUGCAUGUGCUGGAUAUGCAGUUCACAAAAGUGAAGAUUUUCAGUGGUGUGUUUUUGGUCUAUUUCUUCUAAACAUUUUGAAUUUUUAAUGUAUGAAUAUUCUUAUAAGUUUUGUCAUUGGUUGAAUUUUUGUAGAGAAUGGAUCCCCGCAAAAUGUAGUGAAUACUACCCGAAUUAUGAUCAAUCUGGAUAUAUCAGAGGCUGCUGAAGUUAAGAAAGGGUUAGUUAUUUUAUUUGGAUUGUUGUGGUUUUUAAUAUAUGUUCAGAUUCUGAUACACAUUAAUUAAAUAUGUAUGUGUUGCGUUUGUUUACGCCUCAAUGACUGCAUAUUGUAUCAGUUUGGAUGUUAAUUCAAUCGGAAGUAGCCCAAUGUGCCGCUUAUUGGUCCGAGGGGUAAACCAUCGAUAGAUGAAGAUUUCUUGCAUCUCUAUCCAAAGAAGUCUAUUGCAGAACUAAAGGAAGUUAGGGUGAGUGAUACGUUUAUAUUUUGUGGUACAAUUGAUGGUAUAGUUGAGGAAUAGGAAUGGUGGUACCCUUCUUUGAUUGAAAAAAAUUAUCAUUGUCAUGGUAGUAAAAUUACUAUUUUAAACUUUAGUCCUUUGGCCGUUUGAUACUAAUCAAUUUCUUUUUUGAAUAAAUGUUUGACUUACAUGUUCAUGGAGCUUCUAGAGGAGUUGAGUUAGGAAGUUUAUACAGAGAUAAAUUGCACUAAUAAUAUUGUAAGAAAGUUCAUGUUAAUUAUACAAAAAACAUUACCAACAAUCAUAUUUAAUCAAAUCUCAACUUCUAUAGGUGAUAAGUGAAACUGUUUAAAAAAAAGAAAGAAACUCGACGAAGUUCAAAUUUAUUUCUAUGCCCUUUACCCUGCAUUGGUUCCAAUUAGUUUCAACCUAAUUAUGAUCAUGUUUUCCUGGUUUCAUGAACAAAGUAUAUCCUCUUUUCAUGAAUCAAGACUUGGUAGAGCUUUCAUAAAUAUUUUGGUAAAUAUUUCUUUUGGAAUAAUCUUUUUAUAAGAUACGUUAUUCAAGCCGUGCGAAGCACGGGUUUGUAACUAGUUAAAUAAUAAAAUAACAAAAUGGAAACCGAGAAGGCUAAUCUCAAAAGAAAUAACUUAUUCCUUAUUGUGUUUAGAUCCUUAUCCAUUUGUUAUUCCUAUAUUAAGAACACGUAAGCUACCAUAAAUUUAUUUGUAAGAACACGAAAGCAUUGAAUAUAGAGGUGUGUUGCUCCUACUUUGUGCUCAUAGAAAGACAGGUUCAUACCUUGUAGGGUUUAUCCAAUAUAAUUGAACUUACUUUGGUUUAGGAUUGGUGAUAUAUGAUGUAUUUAUUUACUUAGAAUAUAUCAUUAGUGGUAUUCUCAUUACAUGCUCAAUGGUAACACAUCAAAUGAAAAAAGAAUGUGGCAGGAAAAGCAUCAUUUACCGAUGUAACAAAGUAUAGAAAAUCAUGGAUUGUGAGAUAUCUUAUAGAGGAGGACUAUGCGGUAAUUAUUUUUCUAGAGUUUGAUUAAUUUUUAUUUCCGAUUCCAUAUUCUAAAUAUGAUUAAAUAGUAAUGCAUGAUGAUUGUCAUGUAAACAGUGGCGUUGCCAAGACCUUGGGUUAGGAGGUUCAAGUUUUUUGAACUUUGAUUAAUAAUUAAUAUGUAUGCGUGUAUGCAUGCGUGCCUGCGUGCGCGCGCGUGUAAACUGUAAUUCUCUUUUACAGGGUUUCAUGUUUUGAAAUCGUUGACAGUCAGCUCAUGCAGAUUGUAGACUAAACACAUAAUAAUUGUAUAGUAUAAAUUAAAAUAUGGCAUCUUAAAUUUGUAAUUUAUAAAAACAAAAUUAAAAACGAGAAAAGGUAUAUUAUCUACACACACAUUUAUUUGAAGCGCUUAACCUCUCUUUGAACCCUUCUCCCAAUUUUAGACCUUUUUUUUUACUUACUUGUAACCAUUAAAAAGCUAAGAUUUGAUGAUGACGUAGGAAUAUAGGACCACAGACAGUAGGUAAAUAAUAGGAAAUAAUCCAAAAUCUUUUAUCUUUAUAGCAUUAUACAUUCGGACUAUAUUUUGGGAAACAAAGUGACAUGUACUUGAACAUAGGAAAUGUGAGAAAGAGACGACAAAGGAAUACAAUGAAGUUUGAAGAAAGAAAGAAGAAAAUUAUCUUAAAAAAAAACAUUUCAUCCCUGUUUAAUUAGUCCUCAGACCUCAAUGCUGCCUCCUCCGGGUCGCCGCUGCCUCCACCACUGCGGUUUUGUAGUGUUCUACUAUGAACUUACUUUGGUCUAGGAUUAGUGAUAUAUGAUGUAUUUAUUUACUUUGAAUAUGUCAUUAGUAGUAUUCUCAUUACAUGCUCAAUCGUAACACAUCAAAUGAAAAAAGAAUGUGGCAGGAAAAGCAUAAUUUACCGAUGUAACAAAGUAUAGCAAAUCAUGGAUUGUGAGAUAUCUUAUAGAGGAGGACUAUGCGGUAAUUAUUUUUCCAGAGUUUGAUUAAUUUUGAUUCCCGAUUCCAUAUUCUAAAUCUGAUUAAAUAGUAAUGCAUGAUGAUUGUCAUGUAACCAGUGGCGUUGCCAAGAUCUUGGGUUAGGAGCUUUAAGUUUUUUGAACUUUGAUUAAUAAUUAAUAUGUAUGCGUGCGCGCGCUCGUGUAAACUGUAAUUCUCUUUUACAGGGUUUCAUGUUUUGAAAUCGUUGACAGUCAACGCAUGCAGAUUGUAGACUAAACACAUAAUAAUUGUAUAGUAUAAAUUAAAAUAUGGCAUCUUAAAUUUGUAAUUUAUAAAAACAAAAUUACAAUUGAGAAAAGGUAUAUUAUCCACACACACACACACAUAUAUAUAUAUAUAUAUAUAUAUAUAUAUAUAUAUAUAUAUAUAUAUAUAUACAUAUAUAGACACACACACACACACACACAUACAUGACCUCCGUAAUUUUUAAGCGUCGUUUGAGUAUAAAUUUUGUAUUUUUAUUUAACUGUCGUUUUAAUAGUUUAAAAGUACAAUUUAUCAAUUAUACACUUUCUCAAUUAUUCAUACUUACUCCUUUUCAAUAAAAUCAAUUAAAGUUAUGUGUUUGGUGUCGCCACCACUCGUUGGCUUAGGUGUCACCAUCACUCGCCACCAAGACCACUUCUUUCAACAAUAUUAAUAAUGAGUUGAUUAUUCAAUGAUUUUAAAACAUGAAACCUUGUAAAAGACAAUUACAUAAUACACGCGCGUGUAUGUGCGAGCGCACACACAUAUAUAUAUAUAUAUAUAUAUAUUAGUUAUUUAUCAAAGUUUAAAAGCUUGAACCUCAUGACCCAAGGUCUUGGCAACGCCGACUAUAAUCAGAAUUAAACUAAUCUCCUAAACUUAGGUCAUUUUAAUUUAUUCUAAAACUAACAAUCCCUAAUAAUAAUCCAUAAUCACUCCUUAUUUUAAGUUUCCUAUCAUACCACUUAAUUUGAUAAUGCUCACUGUUUCUCUCUGUGCUUGUUUGAUCUUCAAUUAUGACAGGUUGAGGUUUAUUAUCAUCGUUGACAUCAAUUUUGGGACAGUAAUUGUUAGUUGUUGUCCUUGUUGGUAGAUUUUUUGUGGGGACUCAUAUGACAUCAUUGCUUUUUGCUCUUUUGAUUUUCCCAUACAACUAGGUAUAGUCAUGUAACCACGACCACUUCUCCAACAAUGCUGAUGUAUAUAAAAGAAAUCAAAGUGAAAAAUAUGAGUUUGACAUUCUUAACCAAAAGUGUUUGAUUUUAAUGAAUGAAACUUUAGAAAAGAAACAAGUUGUGAGAAUGAAAAGCGUGCAUAAUUAUCCAAUUUAAUCUUUCAAAUUGUAGUCGUUGUAUAAUACCAUCUCUUAAAUUAAAAAAACUUCAAAAUAAUUCUUGAAAUUGAAAAGCAUUGAUCACAUUAAUCUUUUCUAAAAAAAUAUUUAAUGUAGAAAUUCACUAAUCCAAAAGGACUAUUGUUGAUGCGAUCAAAGAUUUCCAGUUUUGUAUAUUAUGUUGAAAGUUCGGUUAAUAUCAUGUAUCAUAGAGUUUAAUGUGUUUGAUUUUAGAGACUAAAUUGAUUAUCUAGUUUGCAAUAAAUUGAGAAGAGUGUUAGGAAUACACUCUAGGUUGCUAUAAUAUACCUUCCUAGGUGGAGUUUCUCUUUGAGGAAAAUACAAGCCAAGGCUCUGACUAUAAUCAUUCGCAAAGGAGUAAAAGCAGUAACAAAAACAGGUCUCGUAGUUUUAAUGACAUAGCCUUGCACAUAAUAUUGAAUUGAUGAGGUUAAUAUUCCUUGUGUAAAACAUUAGAAGAAAGAAUGUCAGGAAAAAAAAAAUUAGAAUACUUGCUUAAUGUUGUAACUUAGACCUAACUUCUUAAAAAUAAAAAAUAAAAAUUGAGUUGGGUUUGUUAGUUCAGAUGGGCUCAUUGGCCCAUUAUUGAUAGGUCAUUGCUUUUUAGACCAUAACAAUUGUUCACAAACAACUCAAAUUUGUUGUUGAACGGUAGAUAACUACCGUUCGGCCCUUGAUAGGUGCCUAAUGAGCAAUGUCCUUAUUGAAAUUGUUACUGAUCGUGUAUACUGAAGCAGAUGAAGAGUCAUAGUUCAUGUUGGUUCGAUUUCAAUGCUAGCUAUCUUAUUGGUUAUUUAAUACUUAAAUUCUUUUUGCCUUUAGAUUCCUAUCAAUCUAAUUCGAUUUCGGUUGUUCUAAUAUAUUAAGACAUGUAGUGUGUAAUCAAAGUUUAAAAAGGAAAAAAAUAUAUAUUACAUACACACAUGUGUGCGCACGCGCGCGCUCACACACAUAAAUAUAUUUGAGUAGUAGACUCAAAGAGGAAAAAGAACCUUUUUGAGUUUGAGUGUGAUACUGAUCUAAAUUCAGCAUUUUCUCUAAGUAGUUGUACUAUAGUCCUCAUAUGCACCAACUCACAAUAACAUGAUCUAACCGUGUAACCUGCCCGCAGAUCUAGUAACCAAACCAAAUAGCAUAAUGGGAAUUAACUUUUGGAGAUUGUUAAGUAGUAGAGGGAAUAUUUGCUUUGCAAGCUUGAUUGUUAGUUCCAAAUGUUUAAUUAUUCAUGUAUGAGUAAAUUAAGGAUGUACUAUUUGCUAUAUGUUAAGGAGGUGUGCUUAAAAGCUUAUUAUAUCUUUUGUCAUGUUGCAGUUUUAAUGAUUUGUAUAUUUGUUUUUUCUAUGUAGUUUUAAGGUAGAAUGACUAACUCAGGAACUAUUUGAUACUAUCAAACAUUAUCUGAUAGUAAAUUAACUAUUUGCCUAUCCUACACAUGAUUGGAGGAUGUUAUUCCCUAAUGCAUCAGUUACUCAUUUGACCAGAUAUGCUUCAGAUCAUAUUCCUUUGUUGCUGUGACUUUGCUCCAAGAAAACCAAAGAUGAAGCAUAACAGACAUAAAUUGAUCCGAUUCGAAGAAUGUUGGUUGCGUGAGUCAAAUUUGAAAGAGGAGAUAGCACGAGCAUGGGAAGAUUCAGGUACUAAUUUGAGCAACAGAAUCAAACGGUGUGUCGAAGACCUCGCAAGAAGAGAAGCAGACAGAUACGGUGAUGUGCCAAAAAGUAUCAAAAUCACGCAAAUGAAGUUGGACAAGCUGAAUCGUUCUGCCGAUAAUGAGGGAGUGGCUUCGGAAAUAAGGAGACAAAAGUGAUUCUUGAUGACUUGUUAGAGAGUGAAGAAAUUUGAUGGGCUCAAAGAUCUAGAGCGCUUUGGUUGAAACAUGGAGACAAAAACACAAAGUUCUUUCACUAAAAGGCAUCCCAACGAAAGUCAAGGAAUUCUAUUGGGAGAAUUAAUUACAUAUCAGCAUGAUAGCAUGUGAUUGCAUAUCAUAUUUAAUUCCUAGAAUAUUUCCUAAACAUAUUUAGCUCCGGUAAUAUCUCUUGUACAUAACUAGCUCAUAGAAUAUCUCAUAUACAUAAUUAGCUCCUGAUUUUUGGUAACGGUAGCAUGUGUACACUGUGUAUAAAUGAUUCUGUUGAUUGCCAAUGAAAGACACAAGUUUGCCUUCUAUCAAUUUCUUUAUGGCAUCAGAGCGGGUUGCAAAAACCCCAAUUUGAUUUCUAUCCAAAAAAAAAAAAAAAACCCAAAUUUUGUUUUCUUUCCGCCGCUAUAUUUCUCUCUGCCGGUAUCUAACAACAUACCAUGGCUGGGAAUAAAGAGGAAAAUGAGAACGAGAAGAACCAGAUCGAUGAUACAGAGAAUGGGUCGAAGAAGCCAAAUGGCGAUUCAAACGGAAAAAAGCAUGUUGGUAUCGAUCCAACCUCACCAUUCUAUCUGCACCCUUCCGAUCAUCCUGGUAUGAAUAUUUGUUCAGUUACCUUGAAGGGUGAUAAUUAUCAGGAAUGGGAGACCAGUAUGCGUAAUGCUUUUCGCGCAAAACGCAAAUUGGGCUUCUUGAAUGGUACUGUGACACAAUCAGAUGCAAAUGAGAUCGAGGAUUGGUGGAGUGUUAACUCCAUGCUCGUAGCUUGGAUUUUUCAAUCUUUUGAAUCUUCCCUUCGCUCUACUAUUACUUAUUAUGAUACGGUAAAAGAGUUGUGGGAUGACCUACAUCAACGCUUUUCUAUUGGCAACGGGCCACGAAUCCUUCAAUUGAGGUCAGAAUUGGCUCGUUGUAACCAAAAUGGUCAGAGUGUAGCUGCUUACUAUGGGAACCUAAAGAAGAUUUGGGAUGAGUUGUCCACAUAUAUAACAAGUAGAGCUUGCACUUGUGGGAAGUGUACUUGUAAGUGGGCUGCUGAUUUGAGCAAGGAACGUCAAGACGAACGAGUUCAUCAAUUCCUGAUGGGAUUGGAUGAUGAUAUGUAUGGGACGCUUCGUUCCAGCAUUAUUGCUCAAGAUCCGCUUCCUCCGCUGAACCGAGUUUAUGCGUUGGUGGUGCAAGAGGAACGCCACAAGAACAUGACGAAAGAACGUGAUGCACGAACCGAGGCAGUUGCUUUUGCUGUCCAUGGCAGUCCUUCAACUUACAGUGGAACGAAAGCAAGAAGCAAUAAAUAUAUCUGCCCAAGUUGUGGAAGAACCGGACAUGAGGUAACUUCUUGCUUCAAGAUCAUUGGCUAUCCGGAGUGGUGGAAUAAUGGGCGAGGGAGUGGCAAAGGUAACGUCAAAGGUAAAGGUGUUGAUUCUAGUACAGGACGUGGUCGUGGCAAAACUCCUUUUGGUGUUGCCAAUGCUGCUCAAUUUGCACCAAAUUCUGUCUUGACACACCAUGACAGAAACGUUGUUGGUCCAACCUUGACAGAUGAUCAAUGGGGAACCAUCUUGAAUAUGUUUAAGAGUUUAAAUAAUAAUAACCCCACUUCAAAUGAAAAGCUGAUGGGUAAGUCUUUUUCUCCAUGGAUAUUGGAUACAGGGGCAUCUUACCAUAUGACUGGUGACAAAAGAUUGCUCAAAGAUCUCUCAAAUAUUUUUCCUUUUCCUGUUGUGUUGCCUGAUGGAACACAUAAAAAUGCUGUCCAAGAAGGGACAAUAGCUCUUGGUGACAAUAUGACUAUUAAGCAUGUUUUAUAUGUUCCUCGAUUGACUUGCAAUUUGAUAUCUUUUGCACAACUGAUCAAAGAUUUAAAUUGUGUAGUCACUUUAACUGACAAGUUGUGUGUGAUACAGGACCGCACUUCGAGGAUGGUGAUUGGAAUGGGUGAAGAGAGGGAUGGGGUCUAUUGGUUUCGUGCAGCGGUGCCGAAUACUCACCUAUGUCAUGCAACUGAAGUUGAUUCCUAUCAAGUGUGGCAUUUAGGCAUGGCAAUGGGGCGGGGUGGGGACGGGUUUUACCUUCCCCGUCCCCAUACCCGAUUCUCAUAUACUUACCCGUUACCCUACCCAUAUCCAACGGGGAUGAGAAAUUGAAUCCCAUCCCCGUCCCCGACGGGUUCGGGUAUCCCCGCCCCAUCCCCGUCCCCGCAUUGAAUAAUUUUUUUAAUAAAAAAUAUAAGUUUUUUUUGCAUCCCCAAGAGCAACGUUGUAAUACAUUAUCCAACAAUAAGCUCACUUUCACAUUUGUUAGACAAAAUUAUUUAGUUGAUCCUUUAAAUAUCAAUAAAAGUUUUUAUUAACAUGACAAUUAUCAAACAAAAUAACAUAACAUAUCAACAUAAAGUAGUUUUUUUACAUUUGGGACGGGUUUGGGUAUGGGAACCCAUACCCAAACCCAGUCAAAACGGGGAAAAUCCGUCAAAUUGGGUUUGGUUCGGGCGGGUAACCACGAGUAUGGGUUUUGUUGCCAUGCCUAGUGGCAUCGACGACUUGGUCAUCCGUCGCCACAAAUAGUUAGUUUACUUCCUUUGGUUAGCAUUAGUGAUUGUCGAAAAAAUAAAGAUGAGCCAUGUGAUAUUUGCUUUAAAGCAAAACAAACUCGUGUAUCUUUUCUUGUUAGUUCAAGUAAUGAAAAUGAAUUAUUUGAGUUGAUUCACUGUGAUGUAUGGGGUCCAUAUAGUGUUUCUUAUUCAUCUGGUGCUUCUUAUUUCUUAACUAUUGUUGAUGAUUGCUCUAGAGGCAUUUGGAUUUACUUGAUGGCUAAUAAGUCAGAAGUUGCAAAAUUAAUUAAGAAUUUGUGUGCAAUGACUAAAACCCAAUUCAAUAAGAUAGUGAAAUGUAUUCGAAGUGAUAAUGGGACAGAAUUCACAUGCCUCCAACAUUAUUUUGCUGAACAGGGUAUUUUGUUUGAGACAUCUUGUGUUGGAACCCCCCAACAAAAUGGGCGAGUAGAACGAAAACACCGACAUAUUCUCAAUGUUGCUCGUGCCCUUCGGUUUCAAGCAAACUUACCUAUUGAGUUUUGGGGUGAAUGCAUUCUUACAGCCGGUUAUCUUAUGAACCGUACUCCUACCACAAUACUACAAGGUAAAACCUCAUAUGAAAUUAUCUUUGGUCACCCUCCUAUCUAUAAUCAUAUUAAAACUUUUGGAUGUCUCUGCUUUGCUUCCAAAAUUCCCCGUGACAGAAACAAGUUUGCAGCUCGUAGUCGGAAGUGUAUCUUUGUUGGGUACCCACAUGGAAAGAAGGGGUGGAGAUUAUACGACAUUGAAAAUCGAGAUUUCUUUGUUUCUCGAGAUGUUGUUUUUUAUGAAAAUCAUUUUCCCUAUAGUGAGCCUCCUCCAUCUAACCCCAAUGUUACAGAUUCUAUGAACCCUGCUGUUUAUGAAAUGGAUUCUGUAACUCCCACAACAUCAUUGGACACUGCUGAUACACAUGUUGAACCAACACCCCCUAUGGACUCAUCAUCUAGGGGGACAAAUGAGUUGUUAGCUUCUGCACUUAUCAAAGAAAGGGGGAGUGAUCCUAUUAUGUUAGAAGCAUCAUCUGCUGUUUCUCUUGAUGACACUAAUCGUCCAGUGGCACCAUCUGAAAGUGACAUUCGACGUAGUUCACGAGAACGCCAACCAUCAGUGCUUUUGAAGGAUUUUGUUUGUCAUACAACACGCUGCUUAGAUCCCCCCUCUUCUUCAUCUGCUCUAUCCAUGUCCUCAGGUACACGUUAUCCUAUAGCUAAUUAUGUCACUUGCCAACAUUUUUCUGCUUCCCAUGCUCGUUUUUCUAGCUGCAAUAACUGUCGGACAUGAGCCAACAUGUUUUUCUGAAGCUGUCUGAGAUCCUAAAUGGCGUGGUGCCAUGCGCAAGGAUAUAGAAGCACUUGAAAAUAAUGGCACGUGGACCAUUGAAGAUUUACCCCAUGGAAAGAAGGCUAUCGGGUGUAAGUGGGUGUACAAAAUCAAGUACAACUCUGAUGGCACGAUAGAACGUCAUAAAGCACGACUCGUUGUUCUUGGUAACAAUCAAGUUGAAGGUAUCGAUUAUAAUGAGACUUUUGCUCCUGUUGCUAAGAUGGUUUCUAUUCGAGUUUUCCUUGCAGUAGCUAUUGUUCGUGGAUGGGAACUCCAUCAAAUGGAUGUUCACAAUGCUUUCCUACACGGUGAUUUGGACGAGAAGGUUUACAUGUCUCUUCCUCCUGGUUUUUCUGGUGCUUCUCACGGAAGAGUAUGUCGUCUUCGAAAAUCACUUUAUGGUCUUCGUCAAGCCCCUCGUAACUGGUUUUCUAAGCUCUCUUAUGCGUUGAAGUGCUUUGGAUUUGUUCAAUCUUAUGCUGAUUACUCGUUGUUCUCCUAUGAAAGAGUCAAUCACAUUCUUCAUAUUUUGGUAUAUGUGGAUGACUUGAUCAUUGCAGGAAAUGAUUCUGGCUCAAUUUCUAAUUUCAAGGCUUAUCUGAGCACUUGCUUUCACAUGAAAGAUCUUGGUGUGCUGAAGUACUUUCUUGGUAUUGAGGUAGCUAGGGGACCAGAUGGCUUGUUUCUUUCUCAACGUAAAUACGCGCUUGAUAUAAUUUCUGAAUCUGGUUUACUUGGAACAAAACCUUGUGAUUUUCCCAUGGAACAGAACCAUCAGCUGCCUCUUGCUGCAGGCCCUGUUUUUGCUCAUCCUGAUCGUUACAGACGACUUGUUGGUCGCUUGAUUUAUCUCACUAUUACUCGCCCAGAACUUUGUUAUGUUGUUCAUACUCUUGCACAAUUUAUGCAAACGCCAAAAGAAGACCAUUGGAAUGCUGCACUUCGUGUCCUUCGCUACUUAAAGAGCCAUCCUGGCCAAGGUCUCCUUCUUUCUAAGGACAGUGCUUUACGUCUUACUACUUAUUGUGAUUCAGAUUGGGCGACUUGUCCUUUGACUCGUCGCUCUCUUAGUGGCUAUUUUAUUAUGUUGGGGGCCUCUCCGGUUUCUUGGAAAACUAAGAAACAACCAACUGUUUCUCGGUCUUCUGCUGAGGCCGAAUAUCGCUCUAUGGCUACUGCUAGUUGUGAGCUUAUUUGGCUCAAAUCCUUGUUAAAAUCUCUUGGUGUGCAUCAUUUGUUACCAAUGCGAUUGUUCUGUGAUAGUCAAGCGGCUCUUCAUAUUGUUGCAAAUCCUGUAUAUCAUGAACGUACCAAACAUAUAGAGGUUGAUUGUCACUUUGUGCGAGAUCAAAUCCAAGCAGGCAACAUUGUUACUUUUCAUGUUCGCACACAUGAGCAGCUAGCGGAUAUCUUCACAAAGGCCCUCGGGAAGCAACAAUUUCAAUUUCUUCUUCGCAAGUUGGGCAUUCGAGAUCCUCAUGCUCCAACUUGAGGGGGAGUAUUGGGAGAAUUAAUUACAUAUCAGCAUGACAGCAUGUGAUUGCAUAUCAUAUUUACUUCCUAGAAUAUUUCCUGAACAUAUUUAGCUCCAGUAAUAUCUCUUGUACAUAACUAGCUCAUAGAAUAUCUCAUGUACAUAAUUAGCUCCUGAUUUUUGGUAACGGUAGUAUGUGUACACUGUGUAUAAAUGAUUUUGUUGAUUGUCAAUGAAAGACACAAGUUUGCCUUCUACCAAUUUCUUUAGGUGGAUCAUAUAGUUGACGAUCAAGGUGUCUCUUUCACUGAGGAAGAAGAUAUCGGUAGAAUUUUGUCUAGCUUCUAUCAGAAUUUAUUCGCUUCGAGUUCUCCCAAUAGAGUGGAUGAGGCAGUUGAGGUGGUUAAGAAUAGGAUAUCGGAUGAGAUGCGUGCCAUCUUGGAUGAAAGAUUCACAGAGGAGGAAGUCUAUUGUGAAGCAAAAAAUUUAAAAGCACACUCUGCACCAGGUCCGGAUGGUAUGCCUGCAAUCUUUUUCCAACAAUUUUGGAGCAUAGUAGGCAGAGACAUCACUUCCUUUGCACUAAAUGUACUAAACGAUGGAGUGAAUCCAGGUAACAUUAAUCAUACUUUUAUUUGUCUCAUUCCAAAGAAAAAGAAACAAAAAGUGGCGAAUGAUUUUCGACCUAUAUCUCUUUGCAAUGUAAUAUGCAAAAUUAUUUCAAAAACUAUUGCAAAUAGGUUGAAAAUCAUCCUCUCCAACAUUAUUGGAAAAUUUCAAAGUGCUUUUGUUCCAGGGCGUUUAAUUACUGACAAUGCAUUAGUGGCUUUCGAAUCAUUCCAGUGGAUGAGAAAAAAAAGAGUGGCAAAAAGGGGUGUGUAGGCAUCAAACUAGAUAUGGCAAAAGCAUAUGACCGGAUAGAAUGGGAAUUCCUUAUUGCGGUGUUGAACUCAAUGGGUUUCCCUCAAAAAUGGCAAUCUCUUGUGUUGAAUUGUGUUUCUUCUGUGUCUUUUUAUGUGUUGCUUAACGGUAGCCCUUGUCAAAGUUUUAUUCCGCAGAGAGGGCUUCGCCAAGGGGAUCCUCUAUCGCCUUACCUGUUUAUUAUAUGUGCAGAAGUGUUUUCAGGUCUUUUGAUUAAAGCACAAGAAGAAAAAGUCUUGCAUGGGAUUGAAAUUGCACGUGGAGCUGAAGGCAAAUCGACAUGUACAGAAUAAGCAGCGGAAUAAAAUUCUCGAUUUACUUUCCUUGGAUCAUUACGAAUUGGAACUUGAACCAGUGAUUCGAUUGUUACCUUAGAACGAUUGGUCUGAAAACGAUCGGUGGAAUCUGCGAACCGGAAUCACGAUCACAGCCAAGCAAAUAGCAGAGCCUCUAUCAAGUCCACACGAACAGUGCUCCUCCAAAACCUCGGUGCUAGCCAAGAAGACGGAAGUCAGAGAACUAGGGUUUCUGCAAAAGAACGUAACCGCAAACUGUUGCACUAGGGUUCUAUUUAUAGAACUCCUUAUGUGCUUUGCAAGUCAAACUCGUUUUUGACUUCAUUAAGCCCAAUACGAGUUUAGUAAACUUUGCUAAAUCAUUAGCAUUAUUUACUAAGCGCACCCUUUAUAUAAGUCGUACUUAUACAUAUCUCUUUUGACUGUUCUUUGUGUGUGACCCUUUAGGUUCUAGUCACGUUGGCAAUAAUAUUAAAUCUAAUAUUUAAUAUUAUAAACAAUGAGCGGUAUCUAGCAACACAUCAUGGCUACCCAAGUGACAAGAAUGUCAAGUGAUCUGACGAAACCUUUCAUGAUAAUACAUAUGUGUAUAAUUACUCCUUUGUCUCAAUAUCUUCAUUGAUCCCAAGGCAUAGAUAGUGUCACCCUUGUAUAGAUCAAUGUUCAUUUAUCUUGAUUCCGAAAUAUACUAUUUAACGAAUAAGUCCAAUAUCUUAUAUUGACUUAGUUCGGCAUGGCCAUGCAUAUUUAUAGUCAUAUUUCAUCAAGAGGCCUAAAGAUAUAUCUCCUGUUUAUGAGGAGGGACAAAUCCCAUCUAGGACACUCAUGACCCUCAGCAUGAUUCAUCAAGUGCCCAUCAACCAACGUUAUUGUUAUCCUUUUACAGACAACGUUAGAAUGGCAACAAAGCACUUGAGUCCACAUCUAGAGAUCAUAGUGGUUUCAGGUCUAAGAGCGAUAUACAUUAUUAUCAUUGUGAGAAUAUCUUAUGACAAUUUCAUAACUUACUAUGUAGUAUUCUCACAGUGGGUCAAUCCAAUAUAAAUAUUACUCCUAAUAUUUAUAUCUAUGUAUAGACUUGAUAUCUCAUAUCUAUGACCCAUGAGAUGCGGUCAUCAGUCUACAUACAUAAUAGUCUCGACGCUUUAUUAUUAUCCUUUAUUCAUAUUAAAGCUUUGACUACGGAUACAUUUAAGAAUAGCGUUCUAUAAGAUAAUGUAAUCUCAUGAUUAAGUCACACUUAAUAUAUUAUUACACGAACUAUCUAUUCUAAGGACUUUAUUAACAUUAUCUAAAUAUAAUAAAGAGUGCCAUAUAUUAUACAAUAAUAAAAGUCAUGAUACAUAAGAUAAAUAUAACAUAAACUAUUGGCCUCUAGGGCUUACACCAACAGGAGCCCCCAAAAUAAGCCAUCUUUUCUUUGCAGACGACAUUCUCAUAUUUUGCAGGGACUCUAACCAAGAUGCCCAGACAGUGAAGGGUAUCUUAGAGCUCUAUCAAGCAGCCUCAGGCCAACUCAUUAACUUGGAGAAAUCAGAAAUUUCAUUUAGCCGAAACGUUACAGAAGAGAGAAAAAUCAUGUUCUAAGGUUGGAUGCAAAUUAAGGCGGUGGAAUGUCACACGAAAUACUUGGGCCUCCCGGCUUAUGUUGGCCGCUCCAAGCAACAAGUAUUUGAUUUCGUCCAAGAAAGAGUCUGGAAGAAACUAAAAGGAUGGAAAGGAAACUUUCUUUCCCUCACAGCCAAAGAGGUGCUUAUCAAAUCAGUUAUACAAGCAAUCCCCACUUAAGUUAUGAGCCGUGUCAAACUGCCGGAUGGACUGUGUGAUCAUAUUGAAGGAAUGAUUAGCAAAUUUUGGUGGGGUAGUAAGCAAGGUGAAAGAAAGAUUUCUUGGUUAUCUUGGAGUGUACUGUGUAAUGACAAAUAGGUAGGUGGUAUGGGCUUUAGAACGUUAAAGGACUUUAAUCUAGCCAUGUUGUCCAAACAAGGAUGGUGAAUGUUGCAUCAUGGAGAGAGCUUGUUAGCCACUUGCUUAAAAAACCUCUAUUUUCCAAGGUGUAAUUUCCUUCAGGCCGGAAUAGGCUUUAAUCCGAGUUUCACGUGGAGAAGCAUUGUCCAAGCUAGACUGGAAGUUAUUGAUAAAGCCGGUUUGUGGAGGAUAGGCAACGGCCAAAAUGUGAGAAUUUGGGAGGACAGUUGGUUACCUCACCAAUAUGGUCACAAAACGGUGAGUUUUCGGUUAAAUCUGCAUACAAAUUUCUUAAAGACAGGAGAGAAAGGUUGAACUCAAAUUAUUCUCACUGCUCUCUUCAAAACAGAGUGUGGAACAAGCUGUGGAGAGUCAAAACAAUACCUCGACACACUCAUUUAAUUUGGCGCAUUUUGCAUAACAGGCUGCCAGUGAAGUCUGCGUUGUUUAAUAGAGUUCAAUGUUCUCCCCUCUGCUGUUUAUGUGACCAGCACCAAGAAAGUAUUAACCAUUUAUUUAUGUAGUGUGGCUGGUCUAAAGCAGUUUGGUUUGCAUCGCCACUCGGUUUAAUCUUUGAUAUAAAUGGAGGUGAGCAGAUAUUAUUUAGUACUUGGCUUGAACAUGUUGUGGAGCAUGAGGAUAAUUGUACCAUCCAAUUGGUAUUUGAAAUCUAUUACGAGUUGUGGACUAUGCGGAAUAGAAGGUGUUUUGAUGGCGCUACAUUACCUAGUCCUGAAAUAGUGAGUCAAAGAGCAGGUGCUGCAGUUUCGAGCUUCAACGAUGCUUCUAAUUUUCUGCAAAAUCAAAGUUAUCUUCCUAUAUGCUGCAUUCUGCUGUUCGGUGGUUACCUCCCAGUCCCGACCAUUAUAAGUUGAAUGUCGAUGCUGCAGGCCCAGAUGAAAGUGGCAGUUGGGGGCUCGCGGCUGUUAUUCGAGAUUCCAAUGGAGUAGUGAUGGCUACAGCAUGUUGGUAUCGCCUUUCUCUACCUGAUUCUGAUGUGGCAGAAGGUCUAGCCAUGUUGUUGGGGGUUGAGUUUUCUAAAGACUCGUUGUUCCGUAAUGUUGAAGCAAACUCAGACUCAACAAAUGUGAUUGAAGCCCUCAAUAAUAGGCACAUGCAGUACACAUAUUUGGGUGCCAUAGCUAUGGAAUGUUCACAGUUAUGUUCUAGUUUUAACAAUAUUAACUUUUCUCAUGUUAGAAGAGAAGCUAAUCAAGCUGCUCAUUAUUUAGCUAAGUUUGCAAUCUCUAUUUCUUCUGAUCUUGUUUGGAUCAAUGAAUCUCCAUCUUGUAUUGAUGCUAUAGUGGCUCUUGAUAUAAUGCCACUUUUUGAUUAAUGAAAUAUCAGGUUGCUGUCAAGAAAAAAAAAAUAUACGCUAACCAACUUCCAAAUUCAUUAUAUCAAGAACAAAAUCUUCUAAAAGAAUUUUUCAAUUUUCCUUUGGGGAAAAUUGUGUUGAGUAGGUUGACAUGGUCGUCUUUGCAUAUAUGUUAUGCAUAUUGUCUCGUGGUCAUUAGAAUGAUAUACUGACAUUUUAAGCCGCUUUCCAGGAUCCGAUUGUAACUCUUCCAAAUUUAACUUGUUGGUGUUUAUACGUAACUCAUAAAAUAGGAAAGGAAAAACUGAAGCUUUAUUGAAUAAAAAACUGCUAUCAAAAUACAAAGCUGUGACUUAAAUAAAAACAAAUACAGAGUAACUAACUCCUAAUCUUUAGCCACUACUUUAUUAGCUAAUUUAAAAACUGAAAUAUUAAAACAAAUUCUCCUAAAGACUUGGUCAAUCAGUGCAGCUGGCAGUCACAACUGCUGAUACACACGUUCAACACUCCUCCUUGUAUCAGUAGUUGGAUAUUCCAAGUUUCUCCCUUAGUAACUCAAACCUGCCUUUUGGAAGAGCUUUUGUAAAGAUAUCUGACAGUUGGUCUUCAGUCUUGCAGUACUUCAAACACACAUCACCAUCCUUUUGGACAUCUCUGAGGAAAAAUAAUUUAAUACUAAAAUGCUUUGUUUUACCAUGAAAGACAGGAUUUUUGGAGAUGGCAAUGGCUGCCUGGUUGUCCACCAUUACCUCAGUAGUUUCCUUUUGCUCUAAAUGUAAAUCAGUUAGAACUUUUCUUAGCCACAAGGCCUGAUUAACAGCUGCUGUGGCUGCAAUAAACUCUGCUUCAGCUGUUGAUUGUGCAACAAUUUCUUGUUUUUUUGAACUCCAAGAGAAUAUCCCUGUCCCAGAACUAAAACAGUAGCCUGAAGUGCUUUUCAUGUCAUCUAAAGAUCCUGCCCAAUCACUAUCAGAGUAACCUUGCAACUUGAAUUUUUCCGAUCGACAGAACUUAAUGCCAUAAUUUAAGGUUCCCUUGACAUACCUCAACACUCUUUUUGCUCCUUUGAAAUGAGAUUCUUUAGCACAGUUCAUGAAUCUUGAAAGAACAUUUACAGCAUACAAAAUAUCUGGUCUUGUAGUUGUAAGAUACAUUAAGCAGCCAAUUAAACUUCGGUAGAGUGUUUCAUCCACUUGUUCUUCUUCAACAUCCUUGCAUAGCUUCUCCUUUGGACACAUAGGAGUGCUCAUGCUUUUACAGUAAUCCAUAUUGAAUUUCUUUAACAUCUCUUUUGCAUACUUCCUUUGACAGAUGAAUAUAUCACCAUUUUUCUGCUUAACUUCCAUGCCAAGGAAAUAAGACAUUUCUCCCAAGUCUGACAUCUCAAACACUUGCAUCAUAUCAUCCUUGAACUGUUGAAUCAGUUCAGCACUGCUGCCAGUAACUAGGAGAUCAUCAACAUAUAAAGAGAUCACCAAAAAAUUAGCUUCAUCACCUUUGAUAUAUAAAGUGGAUUCACUUAGACUUUUAACAAAGCCUAACUGCACUAAGUACUCAUCAAUCCUGCUGUACCAAGCUCUUGGAGCUUGUUUCAAACCAUACAAGGCCUUCUUCAAUAGAUAGACCUUAUCUUCAUGCCCUUUCACAACAAAACCUUCAGGUUGCUCAACAUAUAUUUCUUCCUCUAGAAAUCCAUUUAAAAAUGCUGACUUGACAUCAAGAUGACAUAUUUUCCAUCCCUUUUGUGCUGCAAUAGCUAACAACAUUCUAAUAGUAUCUUGCCUUGCAACUGGAGCAAAUGUAUCAAAGAAAUCUACUCCAAAAAUUUGAGCAUACCCUUUAACCACUAAUCUGGCUUUAUGCUUGUUGAUUGAUCCAUCUGCGUUUAGCUUUGUUCUAAACACCCACUUCACCCCUAUGACUCUUUUGUGCUCAGGCCUUUUAACAAGUUUCCAAGUCUGGUUUUUAUCAAUCAUGGUAAGCUCCUCCUGCAUUGCAGCCCUCCAUUUGGGAUCUUCUUUUGCAUCCCAAUAUCCUGCAGGUUCAAGGACUGCAACAUUGCAUCUUUCAUAAACAUCAGAAAGCAAUCUGGUACCUCUUACAGGAGGAUCAUCAACUAACUCAUCUAGAUUUUGCAAAGGAUCAGCUAUUGGCUUAUUUUCUGUAUCAUUCCAGUUCCACUGCUCAUUCUCCAUGAACUGCACAUCCCUGCUUAUCAAAAAUUUUCCUGUGUUAGGUUGGAAAACUCUAUAAGCUUUAGAUGUUGAGCUAUAACCCACAAAUAUACCAGGUUCAGCUUUCUUAUCUAACUUGUCUCUUUUAAUUUGUGGCACAUAAGUAAAACACAAGCAUCCAAAUAUUUUAAAAUUUUUCAAGAGAGGCUUGUAACCAUACCAAGCUUCAAAAGGAGUCUUUCCGUCUACUGCUUUGGUGGGAAGUCUGUUAAGUAAAAAUACAGCUGUGCUUGCAGCCUCUGCCCAAUAUUCCUUAGGCAACCCUUUCUCAUGAAGCAUGCAUCUGACCAUUUCCAUUAUUGUCCUGUUCUUCCUUUCACUCACUCCAUUUUGUUGAGGGGUGUAAGGAGCUGUAAGUUGAUGCUCAAUGCCUGCCUCCUCACAGAACAUAGUGAAUUGUGUUGAUGUGUACUCAGUGCCAUUGUCAGACCUCAAAACUUGAAUCACACAGCCACUUUGUUUUUCAAUCCAAUUCUUAAAUCUCCAAAAUACCCCAGCAACCUCUGACUUGGACUUGAGAAAAUAAAUCCAGCACAUUCUGGUGUAAUCAUCUAUAAAGACAAUGUAGUAUUUGCUCUCAUUAAGUGAAGCUGUUCUUUGCGGUCCAGCCAGAUCUGUGUGAAUCAGUUGCAGCUUCUCUGUUGCUCUCCAGGUUGCUUGCGUGAACGGUAAUCUUACUUGCUUACCAUACUGACAUGCCUUGCAGCUUGGUAAUUCAGCAUCUAAGUGAGGCAAACCUUGAGCCAAAUUCUUUCUUUGCAAAUUCAAUACUGCUGCAUGAUGAAAAUGGCCUAAUCUUUUGUGCCAUAUCUCUGUACUAUUAACAAUAGCUGGAUAAGCUAUUUGCUCCUCCUUCAUUGGAUCAAAUGAAAAACUUUUGCUUCUCAUUUUAAUGCUGAAAAUUACCUUAUCAUUGGCAUCUUUGAUCAAACAUUGCUUAUUUUCAAAGAUGACUUUAAAUCCUUUAUCAAGUAAUUGACCCACACUCAACAAGUUUUGAUCAAUCUCAGGUACAUAUAAAACAUCAGAAAUUAGCUUUGUACCUGUGCAACUUUCAAUGGCCACGGUUCCUUUUCCUUCAACAGCAAUCAGUUUACCAUUACCGAUUCUGACUUUUGAUAUUUGUGAUAUGUCCAGCUCUCUGAAUAUUUCUUUAUCAUGGGUCAUGUGAUGGGUACAACCACUAUCCACUAGCCAACAUUCACUUGAGCUACUGCUUGUAAAACAUGUUGCUACAAACAACUGCUCUUCCUCUUCUUCUUCUUCUUCUUCUUGAUCUUCAGCUUGAGCCUCAUUACUUUGUUGAAAAUUGCUUCUGCAAAUUCUCUCGUGAUGCCCAAGUUUGUUGCACUUGUCACACUUCACAUCAGGUCUUCUCCAACAUUUGAAAGGAGGAUGACCGAAUUUUCCACAAUGCUUGCAAGGAGGAAAUUCUCUAUUUUUUUCUUCAUUUUUGUAGCUAGUGCUUCCAACUGCUUCUUGUUUGUUGAAACUCUUCUUAUACUUAUUUCCCAUGCUCUUUUCUCCUUUGUUGAUUUUUAAUUUAGCUUGUAAUGCUCCUUCCACUGAACCUUCAGACCUUAUCAUUCUUCUUUGUUCUUGGGCCUGCAUAGCAUUUACAAGCUCCGCCACGGUAAGCUUUGACAUGUCCUUGGUAUUUUCCAAGGAAGUGAUGGUUGCUUCAAAUCUUUCAGGGACAGUCACGAGUAUUUUCUGAACUAUUCUUGAAUCAGACAAUUCAGAACCAAGCAAUCUUACUUUGUUAGCAAUGCUAAUAAGUUUAUUUGCAUACUCUUUAAUUGUUUCAGACUCCUUCAUCUUUUGCAUCUCAAAUUCUCGAAUCAAAUUAAGCGCUUGCAUUCCCCUAAUUCUUUCAUCUCCUUCAUAUUCAGUUUUGAGGAAAUUCCAUAUUUCAAAUGCUGAUUUGAUGGUCAUAAUUCUGGUGAAGAUUUCUUCUGAGACAGCAGCAAACAAAGUAGCUCUUGCUUUUGACUUUCUUGUUUUCCUUUCCUUGUGAUUUUUUAUCUGAGCCAUUGUUGGAUUGUCUGACAAAGGAAGAACUUCGUAGUCCUCCUCAACAGCUUCCCAGAGGUCAUUUGCCUCUAAGUAUGCCUCUAUUCUUGCUGCCCAUAUAUGAUAGUUUUCACCAUCAAACACAGGUAAUGGUAGGGCUUUGUAGGAUGUUUCAGAAUCCAUCUGAUUGAUGAAAUGAAAGGUAGUGUUUAAGCUUUUAUGGUGGGUUUCACUCACUUCACUCACAAGUCCCUCUAAGAAGAAGGCUCUAGAUACCAAUCUGUUGGUGUUUAUACGUAACUCAUAAAAUAGGAAAGGAAAAACUGAAGCUUUAUUGAAUAAAAAACUGCUAUCAAAAUACAAAGCUGUGACUUAAAUAAAAACAUUAACAAAUGCUGAGUAACUAACUCCUAAUCUUUAGCCACUACUUUAUUAGCUAAUUUAAAAACUGAAAUAUUAAAACAAAUUCUCCUAAAGACUUGGUCAAUCAGUGCAGCUGGCAGUCACAACUGCUGAUACACACGUUCAACAUAACUUAUCAUGUUAUUUAGAACUAGAUUCUUGCGCAUUUGAUGGUGUAACCGUUCCAAAUUUAAUUGAACAUGUUGAGAAUUAGAUUCAUGCUCAUUUGAUCUGAACUUUCUUUUUAAAAAAUCUCUCCAUAAUCUCAUAUAGCAACAAAAACAAGGUAUGUGAGUGAUUAGCAACAAUACUCAACAUAUAAAUCAUCCAACAUAUAGUAAAACACAAGCAAUGAAGUAAAAUACAACAUUCUUCAAUAGGAAGGCGCCAAGACCCAGGCGCAAAACAUGCUCAGUUAAACAAUGAAACCAAAUUUGUUUCAAUCACAUUUUGGUUCUCUGGAUCUCUUUGAUGUCCUUUAGGUCUUACUGAUUUUGCUCUUUAUCUUGUCGUAGAUAUUGCAUUUUCAAUACUUAUGGAAAAUUCCUUUUAUUCAUAACUACCUUGUUUUUGUUAUAUAGUUAUUUUAUGCUAAAAGCAUUCAUAGAAUUACGCUAUCUCCUUUCAUAUUUAUUUUCUUGUAAAAUUUUACAAGAACUUGAUGUGUUGAAAACAUUAGCUUAAGUUACUUUGCAUUGUUAUCAUCUUCUUUUCACAUGAACAGAAAUUAGGAAGAUCCUUCACUUCAUAUUACAACAACAAAGCAAAACAAUAAAACCAAUUUCCAAAUACUGCAAUUACUAUCAUUGUUGAUUUUACACUAGCAAUCAAUACUUAAAUUGAUUGCAAUCAAUACUUAAAUUGAUGUGAAUACCUAUACUUAAAUUGAAUAUAAAAAUGAUUUAAUUCAUUGUUGAUUUUACACUAGCAAUCAAUAUUCAAUCAUAAUCAGGUUAUUUAAAACCUUAAAUUUUAACCAUAAUUAUUUCUUAAGUCCUUUAACUAAAUUAUGUCUAAAGUUUCACAUACGAAUGGUUGCAAUUUAUCGACAAUGUAAAACUUAAUAGUAUGCAAAAAUCAAUCUAAAAAAUAUACACAAAGAUAUAUUUUUUUUUUCACAUAUAAAGUCUCAGCUAAUUUUCAUUAAAUAUCACAUAAUCAAACAUUUAGGAACAUCAGCAUAAAGCUCGGAGCAAGCAUUAUUACGAUCACCGACUAAGCAUUAUUACGAAACUCAAUUUCAUUACUUCAUUCAAGUACAGGACCAGAAGAAAGUUAUCAACAGGCUGAAAACAUAGUAUUCUAGGAUUUGAUUUUACUGAUAGGAAAAUGCUAACGCAUAUUAAAAGCUAAACGAUAGGACACAAGAGCGUCUUAAAAGCUGUCCAAAGUACUUGAUUCGACCACACACAUCUAUCUCCAAAUCAAAUUACAGCUCCACAUGUACACCAGUACUAUCCUAAGCUAUCAGGAAUGGCAGGACGGUCAGCAUAAACGCCUCAUAGGAAAAUGUUGCAGAGCCGGUAUACCCUGUAUCCUUCUCCUUGAAUUUGUCCGUUAGUCCCUGAAAUACACACAAACUAAAGUCAGAUAUUUUGUCUUGCCAAAAGGAACAUAUCGUAAAUUAAAUUAUAGCUACCUAAGUUAGAACAAAAUUUAUGGCUCAUACUAGGAUAUAAAACCAGGUUGAAUAUGUUUCAUGCAUUCAACUGAAUAGAACAAAAAACAAAUCACAAAAAGGAAUGUGUACUUUUGUAGAGUUGACUACCAAAAAAAGAACAUCAUGCCAUCAUGAAACCAUAGGAGAUUGGAAGUGAAAAUCAAUCUCUUGUUACACGUGGCUGGCUGCUAAUGAUAAAGCUAAGCAAACGCAUUACAUAUCCAUAAUUCACCAAACAUUCUUUGUGAUAAUAAUGUUUUGCUUUUCAACGCAGAAGUUUUAAUAACACACUAACAGCAAACAUUUAAAAGGUUGUGUAUAUAGUUUUGUUAGUGUACUAUGAAUGCAAUUCUAUCAGCAGUGCCUAAUGUUAUGCUACCGAAGUCCUGAAACCCCUAUAACUUUCCUUUUGCUUAUUUUCUUUUAACACAUGGUCUCCAAUAAGAAUAGUAAGAUGUAAUUUUAAUUGCAGAAACUGGUAAAAUUAUAAAAUGUGUAUUUCAAUAGCUCACCUUCACAGUAAGACAACACCUGCAACAGCAAACAAAGGAAGAGAAUCAAUUUAGCAAUCCAUUUUACACCAAAACAGACAAGGACAAACAUAAAUCAUAGUUCUGGUAUAUAGGGAAAAUUUCAACUUUAUUGAAGGUUUCUUCAGUUUAAACAAUGAAAGUUGACUUCAAACUAAAAGACAUAAACAAACAAAAAUAUGAAUAUAUCAAUAUAACAAAUUUUUUAAGUGGUUGGGUUGGGAGAUCAAAUGGUAUAGUUCUUUUGUUGGUAAAUUGGAGGAUUAAAAAAACAUGAUUACUGCUUUUCAACUAGUUGUUCUUGUGUUAAUUACUACUUUGUCCAUUUUCAUCGAAAAUUCAAGUGUCCAAGGCUUUAGAGUUACAACUUUCAUCUCUUUUUAGUCAUAAUAAAAUAACAUACUGUACCUCUGGAAAACAAGACACCUAGACCAAAUCCUUUUUAAUUAUAUAAAAGUAAAUCCAAUAAAAGAAAAAGAGUUGUAGCAAAGCAAUACUCGAUGAAAUUGUCAUAUUCGACGGCUUUGUUUUUGCCACCAGUUUUGUCAAACUUGGAGACGAGCAAGUCCAAUACCACAGGAGAAACAGCAUAACCCAAACUCAACAGCGCAUCUCGCAACUCAUUUGAAUCAAUUUUGCCACUCCUAUCCUUGUCAAAUCUCUCAAAUAUUCCCUGAAACAACAACCAGUUAGUUAGAAGAACACUGUUUCAUAAGGACAGUAUAGUUUGUCUAAGUGUGUGUUUGGCUAAGUAUUUCAUAAACAUAAUUUUGAAAGAAUAUGAUUUAGAAGAACUAAUUUAGUUAAAGCUAAGUUUUAAGAGAAGUAAUUUAUGAGUGUAUAUUUUCCCUCAAGCGACAAGUUUGAUGCAAAGCUUGGUAUAAAAUUUUCAACCCUCAUGCAAAAGUUACCAUCAUAUUAAUGUUGAUUUAAAAUAACCACCACACCAUAUUGAUUUUCACUAUAAUCAUGCUUGAUAGGUAAAAUCAAUGUUAACUCUUUCCAUUUUGAAUUCAAACACACACUAAGUUGAGAAUUAAGAUUAACUAGGGGAAAACUUCGAAAAAAGGAUGAAAAUACCCUCCAGCUCUGAAGACUGUAAAAUAGAGAAGUGAAUUCCUUGGGUCCUGCAUUACAAAGUCCAAAAUUCAAGCAGUGAAGAAUGAAGAUGGAGAAAAGUUUUAAUUACAACCAAUCAUUGAACAGCACGUUAGAUUAAGGGAAGCAGAAUAUAUUGCAUAAAGAAUAAAACAACAGUAGCUAGAUAAUAGAUAUAAAUAUAAAUAAAUAAUCUAAUUUCUGCAAAAGUACAACUUGGACAUCGAACUAGGAUAUCUAUAGCAGAUAUGGUAUCUGUAACAAGGCAGUUACAGGUUAAACAUUUCACAUACUACAUAUCAAGCUCUGGAUUGAACAGUAAAUAAUAAUGCCAAUUAUGAGUAAUUGCUGAAUGUGCAUAAGUAGGGUUUGCUGAACAUUGUUUUAUAAAGUAAUUGAUUUGAUUAAAAUUGAAUUCGAAACAAAGUAAUUUAUAUUUGAACGCUUUUAAGCUAGGAGGAUGAUGUAAAAUCGUGUUCAUUUUUUAACUAUUCAAAAGAUAUUUUUUACCACUUCUAAUCAAAUCAAGGUUGAAGGCAAAAUUAACUGUCUAAUAAUAACCACACCUCAAUGGCAUUAUACUAAAAUGGUGAAACCACGUAUAGACUCAAAUUCCCUCUAUAUAAUAGAUUCUAGCAUACUAAUGCAACACUUUAACUUAUAUCCUACUAAAAGAACAAUCUAGUAGCAGGGGAAAUAGUUUUCAAAAAUAAAUCCUUAGAGGUUUUAACAAACACUGGGUAAUUUUUCACAAAUAUCAGUAUUAAAUUGAAACAGCCAAGUUUUAGAAUAUAAAAUUAAUUUUCCAACUGUUGUAGCCUAAAGUCGAACCUUGUAUGGAACUUUUUUGGAAAGACAAAUGUUAGUAUGGUGGUGUAUGUUAGAGUUAUGUUGUGUGUGGAGAUAGUAGAACCCUCAACCUCCUUAUCAAUUAUCACUCAACUCCUUAACUCUUCAAUCCCAACCACGAAGUCAACCUUAGCGUAUGUUUGGAAUGGCAUCAGAUUUGGACAAAAUCGCGUUGAAAACGACGGCAACCCAGAAGCUUGAUAUACUAGCUUCAGAAUUCUCACGGCAACCGUGCAUUGGGACGCGGUAAUGGAUUGGCAAAUGUUUAUUCAAACACACACUUAAAUUCCCAAACAUGUAUCCAUUUAUCAUACAACUCGUUAUAACCAAAAUUGAUUCUUUUAAAGUUUCCCCAAGAGAAAUAACAAUCCCUUAAAUCUUUUUACCGCAAUUGUUAUAGAUCGCAGUAAACAGGGGUGCUCGGAGAAGGCAAGGAAGUUUACAGAGCUUUGAGAGAGAUUUAGACUCAAAUGGAAUCAUAUUAACAAAAGAUGGAACUUGACUCUUCUAAAGUGAGCAAAUAAAGGGUGUCAUUUCACAAACUAGUGUUUUGUUAUGAUAUACUUGCAAUAUCCACCUCUGAUUUGUUGUUAAUGAGUGCUCCAUAAUACUCUACUCUCUAGAGGAGUCGGAUCGCAAAAAAAGUGUGAUAGUAUCCAUUUGAAUCCUUUUUUUUUUUAUGGCAAAUGUUAGUAUGUUAGUUAUUAUGUAAGUAUUUUUCUCCCUAGCCAAUAUUCGAACCAUGGACCUUCGCUCCUUACCUCCUUUAAUCCCUUAGCUCAAUCAAGUUAGCUUCCCAUCCUCGAGUAUCCAUUUGAGUCUAAUUGUCUCUUAAUGAACUUUAUGGUUCAUUACAGAAAGGAUAUUAAACAGCUAAAACUAGUUUACAAUGGAUGACUUAUAAGCUAGAUUAUAGCUCAUAGUGGGUAAGCUAGCUAACUGAAUUUGUAGUGUUUGGUAAAAUUGGCGAUUGAAGUAGCUUAUAAAUGUGAAAAAACACAAAAAAAUGUUCAUUUAAUUAAUAUUUAUUUCUUCCAAUUAAGAAGAUUGUAGGGGUAAAAUGGAAAUAAAAAGUGACAAGUUAUAAGAUUUAAGCUAUAAGCUACUUGAAUUAGCUUAUCAAAAACCACUAUGAACUCAUAAAAAUAAGAUGUAAGGUCGUGUAAAAUAACAGUUAUCAAACAGGUCUUUUCAAUUAUACCAGCUUAUAAACUAUAAAUUAAAAGCUCAGUUUUAUGUCUUACCAAACAUAGCCGUAAUAUAAUUUUUUAUUAUAUGCAGGAUUAUUAAAUAAAUAAAUUAAAACACAAAUAGACUCACCAACAAAAAUAGUAAAAUUUGCGUAAAAAAACAAAAUAUUUUAAAAAAUAAAAAAUAAUAAAAUAAUAAAAUAAAAUAAAAUACUCUUUAAAAAGAAAGUUAGACCCCAAAACACACACGUGGAAUAAAAAUACGAAGCAGCCGCGUCCAAUGGAUCCUAUUAUAACAAAACGACAAAAAAAGUCCCCGCGUACGCAACUUAAUUCUAAAUAAAAGCAUUUACUAUACGCCUUUUCGAGAGCAGAGCAGGUAAACCAAAUCGCAUGCAAUUAACUAUAACGGUCAACCAUUUAGUGGUGUCAUAGUACGAUUAAAACGCGUAUGACAAAGGGUAUAAGGGUCAUUACAAUGCAUGCGUACUUUAUCAUCGUACGCCGGAAAACCCAUUUCCACAGAGCAAAUUAGCAGAAAACCUAGUUUCACGAAAUCGGAAUGAAGAGGAAAAGGUACGUACCGAUCUUCUUGACAUUGGUGUUGGUGAAGUGAUACAUGAGAAGAUGAACAGUUCUCAAACUGAAGCUCUGAUUGUAAGAAGACAAAGCCCUCUGCAAUUCUUUAUCAUCGAUCAAACCACUUCCAUCUUGAUCCGCCACUUGAAAGCAUGCAACGAUGCUUGGAUCGGUACCGGGAGGGAAUGUUGACGGAACCAGUGAAGCGAACGGGCUUGCGUACGCCGGUGGUGGGUAGGUAGCGCCACCGCCGCCGGAGGAGUGAGAAUCUUCCUUUGGUGGUUUCUGGUAAGGGGCGGCGUAAGGAGCGGAGGGUUGGCCGUAGGAGGUGGGGGGUGGUGCGCCGUAGGAUUGAGAUGGCGGUGGUGCGCCGUAGGAUUGAGAUGGAGGAGGAGCGCCGUAGGAUUGGGAUGGUGGAUGUGAGCCGUGGGAUUGAGAUGGAGGAGGGGCACCGUAGGAUGAUGGUGGAUGUGAGCCGUGAGAUUGGGAAGGAGGUGGUGCGCCGUAGGAUUGGGAAGGAGGUGGUGCGCCGUAGCCGUAACCGUAACUGGGAGGUUGAUUUGGGUAGCCGGACAUGUUGAAGAGUGAGAGGGUUUGUUAGAGAAAAUUAUAUGAGUGAAGAAGAGCAGAGACAAAUGAUAGUGGAUUUUGUGGAGGUUCUGGAUUUAUAUACAGCUACUCCUGAUAUAUGCUGAGGUGGAAUGGUUAUGUGGUUUUAGAAAAAAAAAAAUUGUCCUAAAUUAUACGUCGCUUUACAAUACCAAUGAAAUAUUUAUGUUAUUUUUUUUAUUAUAUCCUUAAUUAUUAAUUACUCUAUCUUCUUUCAAUUAUUUCAUUUAUUUUUUUCAUACCAUUUAUUAAGGAUAAUUUUGUAAAAUAACUCAUAAUUUCUCUUCUCUACGCAAUAUUAAUUACAUUUUUUAAUACUGUGAAAUGGUCAAAAC
rnacentral:lncRNA from 1 species